rnacentral:lncRNA from 1 species
UUCAUCCGAGUUCGUAUGCAAAAGUUAUGCACAUUUUACAAAUUCCAGAGACAUUUUGCAAAUAAAGUCGAAAUUCAUGUUUGUAAAUUUUCCCAACAACUAGACCACAUAUCACAUGGGAAACUUAUUUUAUUUUAUUUUUUUGACAUUUCCAUCAUUUUUUUGUUUUUUCUAAAACUGAAAAGGCGGUCCACCGGGGGGGGGGGGGUAGAGUUUGAAAAUGGGACCUUUAGUACCGGUUCGUGCCAUGAACCGGUACUAAUGCCUCAAAGCCCAUUAGUACCGGUUGGUGGCACCAACCAGGACUAAAGGUCUAAAGGGCCAGGUGAACCGGGACUAAUGCCUUAGCCGCACGAACCGGGACGAAUGCUCACAUUAGUCCCGGUUCGUGACUGAACCGGGACUAAUGUGAAUACUGCCCUAUGACCAAAGCCCUGUUUUCUACUGGUGGCGAUGAACAACUAGCCGAAAAGUUCGAUUUGUCCACUCAACGAUGGAAGCACACAUAUAUAAUUUGUUUGGACAAAUGCCCUAGGGGACUUCGUCCAUGACGUGAAAGGAGCCUCCUUUCGAAUUAAGCACAAAAAAGAACCAACCAGGAACUGAUCUUCCUUUUUAGAUCCAUAAUUAUCAUUCCCUUGUCUAAUUUCUUGGUUGAAACUGAGCAUGCAGACGUGGCAUUCCUACCUAUACAGAACCACCGCUUACAGCCGGCCGCUGCGAGGAUGCCUGCAAGCGCUGCCGAUCUUCAUCGCUUGCUCCCUUCUCGAUUGACUUCAUUCACUUCCCUGGCAAAAAUUGAGGGCGAAUCAUUAGGUUCAAUCCUCUCACAAUUGGGUUGAGAAUUCUAGAGGAACAAUCCCUAGAAGUAUGAGAUGGCUCGUAGAGGCAUGCAAUGGUGUGGCCGGACUGUAAAAGUUGAUGGUGGCACAUGAUGGUAGUGGACACUAAGAUCGAUGGAGUUAGAAGACAGAAAGAAGGAGGCAAGAUGAGUACAUACUUAAUGGUGAUUACUGGUGGAAUUGGAAGAGGAACGGCCUGGGGAAAGAAGAAGACUAAAGAACCAUGCAUGCAUGCACGCACAGCAGGAAACCCGUGUUGGUAGAAGUUGUAUCGCAGGAUUUGAUGGAAUUUCCUAAGGUGGAAUAUGUGGGGCACGAUGAUUAUUAUUUUUGUAUGAGGUGGCAUAUGUGUGGGACAUGUAUGAUGACUUGGAUAAUUUGCAUGUGAAGAGAAAUAUGAUAGUGGGGUGUGGGACAUGUAUGAUGACUUGGAUAGCUUGCAUGCCAACAGAAAUAGUUUAGUGGGGAUGACUAUUUAGGUAUUAUAGAUUUGGAAAUGGCUACAACUUUUGCCAAUCGGUGGGCAUGCACAUGGUAGGCAUCCAUGCCAUGUUUGAAGGAAAAGAGUAUUUAGAAUCAUAAUUUGAGUAGGCACUCUAACCGUUAUUUCAAAUUUUAACAUAAUUAAUAAAUAUAAAAGGAUAAAAUUAAAAACAGUAAAUGGUUUUCCAGAUAAUAUUUGAUGGAAAAAGAACUUAUAAUCAUAAUUUAAUUUUUUUUCUUAAAACUAUUUUUUUGGUGUUCCAAAUAAUAUUUCAAAUUUUUGCACUGGUUUCAAAAAGAAUAAUAAUAUUUUAAAGGAGAAAACAAAUUAACGUAAAAAGAAUAAUAAUAUUUUAAAGAAGAAUAAAAAAAACUACAAAAAUAAUGCUUAGGCCUUGGCCCAACUAGGCGACAGUAUGGCUCCUGUCGGACGCAUGUUGGGAAUUUGUAAAAGUAUUUGCAUUUUUUAAAAUUUGUUCACAUUUUCGACCAAUGUUUCGAAAUUUCAAAAGUUGUUCACGUUACAAAAAAAUUGUUGAAAUUUGAAAACAUGAAACAUGUUCAUGUUUUCAAAUUUUGGUCUAAUUUCAAAAGUAUGUCCACGCUUUUCCAAAAAAUCAGAAAUUAAAAUGCAUUAUUAUUUUCGUUUUUUGUUGACAUGUUAAAAAAAUCAGGAUUUCAAUAAUGUUCUGGCUUUCAGAAAAAUUUCACACAUCGAAAAAAAGUUUGCUUCUUUAAAAUUUUGUCGGAGUUUCUAAAAAAUUUGUCUUGUUUUGAAAAAGGAUCGUGUCUUAAACAUAUAUAUUUGAUUUUUGUGUGUUUUUUAUAAUUUUUUUUUGGAAAUUUCAAUUUUUUCUUGCAUUUUGAUAAACUUUUCAGUAUUAGAAUUUUUUUAUAUAUUUCAAAAAAUGUUCAGGAUCGGUAAAGUUGUUCAUAUUUUUGGAAAAAAUGUUUUUUGGAAUUUCGGAAAUUCUUCAAAAUUUAGAGAAAAGCGGAGAGUUUCAAAAAAUAUUUGCUUUUUCCAAAAGGUGUUCGACAUUCACAUUUUAUGAAAACUUUUGAUGUUUUUUCAAAUAUGUUUUUAUAUAUGAAUGCUGCUGUGUGUUCUUAUAUAAUUCGCGCUAUAUGAAAUCACAAACAGGUGUUGGGUCGAGUGGCAAGCAGCAUGCGCUAAUUGUGCACGGUCCCAAUUUUAAGUCCUUGUUAUCUCUCUUUUCGCAGUAUUUAUAUUCUACAUAAAAUGGACAUACGUGACUUAAUAGGCCGGUCGAGGCGCGCAAGCACCAAAUCAGAGAGCCUUGUACAUGGCAUCUCUAUGGCAUAUACGUUGUGAAAUGUUCAUAUUGGCAUUUAUACAUUUAUUAGUGAGGGGGGCUGUACCGAAGCGGACUUUUUAGCUGAUUGUUCUAUGCAAAAUAAUUGUAUACUCCCUCUGAGUUCUGGAAUCGAAAAAGAGAAAACCUAGAAAUAAUUUUCUCUGGAGAGAGAAAGUAACCAGACAACGUUUGCUGUAAUCGUCAAAAACGUGCUUUUACUUUUUCUCAGCGGGAGCCGCUUGGCCAUAUGAGCAUUGAGCGAACGACAGCACGUAUGGGGAGCGGGAGGCGCGUAUGGUGGCUUCCAUCAACGUACUCCACGACCGAGGCAAUUAACCACGGUGGCGAUAGGCUACCGCUACACAUGCACCACCCACAUAAAUUCAAUUUGAUGCGGUAAUUAAUCACCUAAUUAACUUUAUAUACAAUUUCCUAGACACUUUGGACUUCUUGGCUUCUCCCAGAAAUAACGUCACCGGCUGCGCGACGCUCCCCCGACUGCCCAACUACCAACUUUACUCCAAUCCUGUGACACUUGUGAUUACUAUAAGAGCCUCACGGCCUCCCUGAUCUGCCAUUCUCUACCUCCACUCUACCGUAAAAAACUCGCCAUGUCCAACGCUGCUGCAUCCGCCAUCGGUGCCACAAGCGGCGACGAGCCGUCGCUGACCGCAUCAACCAUCGACGCCCAGGCCGUCGGAUCCCACAUUCUCCGCAUCAACGGCUACUCCUACACCAUGGGGCUCGGCACUGGCAAAUUCAUCACCUCGGAGUGUUUCACCGUCGGAGGCCAUCGCUGGUGUCUGAAAUACUUCCCCGACGGUACCCAAAAGGGCUAUCCAGCUUCGAUAUCCAUCUUCCUGUGUCUUGUUCACACUGCUUUGGAUGAAGUCAAGGCCAAAUUCACAAUUAGUUUGCUCGAUCAGGCCGGGAACCCCGUGCCGUCUUACAUCCGUCACGGCGGUAUGUGGACGUUCUCCCACAAGCAAGGUGGUAAUGCUGCGCGGGGCUACAGUGAUUUCAUCGAGAGGAGCGACUUGGAGAAUCAUUACGUGAAGGACGAUGUUUUGAGUGUCAGGUGUGAUGUGGCCGUGCCACUAGGGAAAACGGUCACCAAGGCCAUCCUGGUUUCCGCAGUUCGUCGUGGCGUUUGAACUGGCCGGUGGGAUCCUUGGGUUCGAUCGGUUGUGCACGAUAUCAUGAGUGUGGAGGCAAUGUUGCUAUGUCUCUUUUUUAUCUUCUACUGUUAUUACUUCUGUUUAAGUGGGAAUGUUUGCUUAAGCACAGUUGUGCACGUCGUUUGGUCAUCGGGUCUGUAAUGGAAUCAUCGAACUUAUAAGAUGAAUGUCUGAGUCGUUUCGUUUUUAACUUUUCUCAGCUUUGUGUGUUUCAGUGUUUAAACUGAACCUUUGUAGAGUGUCGUCGUAUUAUGUCGAGUUUGGCAGAAAUUUGUCUUUGUAAUCGCCUAUGCAUGUCAAUGAAAACCAGCAAAAAUAGUUCAACUUUGUGUUAAUGGAGUACUGGACUAGCUGGUUUGUUUUCCACUGCGUUUCACGGAGCAAGCUGGCAACGUCCAGGCCUAUCUGGCUAUGCCAGCAUCGAGCAGCGGGAGCAGCACUCCCAGCACUGCAUAUGCCUCCGGUCUUCAUCUGACUCUGACCUGCACUGUUCUUUUUUAAAAUUAGACUCAAAUUUGAAAUGUUAUAAUACAGAAAAGAAAGAGCUACCAUUUCUGAAAUUUGUAUAAAAUGUUGACUGAACCAUAAGCAAGUACUACAAAUUAGAGUUUGAAGCUUAAACAAGUCCAAGUAUAAAUUUAUAUUUUUUUUAAGUUUAUAGCUUUACUUUCUAUAUAUAUAUAUAUAUAUAUAUAUAGGAAAAUCCAUCCUACCACCCGGUGGUAGUUACCCCACAUAUCUCAUAUACUACCAAGUGGUACUAUAUAUAUACUAUUUUAUUAUUUUAAAUAUGUUCAUAUACUAUAUCUAAGAUAUUUCAAAGCAAGUUACGUGAAAAAAUUGCAUAUGAGCCCAUAGUUUUUGUUAUAUUUAUGAAAUACGUACAUAUUUAUACGUAAAAAGAGCAUACUCAAAAAAUGGUACAUACUACCUAAAAAUUAGUACAUAUAUACUACCUAAUCACUGUUAUAUACUACAUACAAUACGUACAUACUCUCGGUUUCGACAGAUAGUACAUACAACAUACAAAACGGAAGUGAUGGUAACUACCACUGCUUGUACGAAACAUUUGUCCUAUGUAUAUAUAUAAUAUAUAUAUAUACCCAACCCGAAUAUUGAUAGAAAUUCCAAGAAUAGAUAUGCUAUUGAUAAGGUAUUAUCAAUCAUAUGGGCAAGGAAGACCCCCUGUAAAAAAAUUAAAUAAAUAAAAAAAAAAUGAAUAAGCAAUGUUGAAUAUUUAAGCAAGUUAAAUUAAAAAUAAAUGAAGCAAUGCUGAAGCAGCCUUGGCAUGUAUGUACGCAUACACUGCCACAAGGAUUCUUGAAGGCAGAAGAAGCUCUGAAGGCUAAUCGCAUGAAGAUCUGUAUGGCCGAAGAGCGAAGACUGGUACACAGAGGCCAGUCAAUUAUUCACCCAGAGACAAUGCCACGUGAAGAAAGCAAAGAUUCCUGAAGAUUGAAGAUUGUCGGCACUCUCUCUCGCACUUUCCUAUAUUAUUAGUAGGACAUGCUUGUACCCUAGUAGGAUUUUUCUAUAUUAUUAGAAGGACACGCAUGUACCCUAGUAGGACACGCGUGCAUACUACCAUGUGUAAAAUAAGUGAAGGAAGACUCCUGAAGGCCUCCCUGGCAGCCACCCCCCGCGGCUAUAAAAGGAGACGCUGGGCUCAAGAACACAACACAAGACGGGAGAGCACGAAGCAUGUACCCUAGUAGGACACGCGUGCAUACUACCGUGUGUAAAAUAAGUGAAGGAAGACUCCUGAAGGCCUCCCUGGCAGCCACCCCCCGCGGCUAUAAAAGGAGACGCUGGGCUCAAGAACACAACACAAGACGGGAGAGCACGAAGCACUCAGAGCAUCAAAACUCUCCACCAGAGCACCGUUUCCUUCAUAGUUUAGCCACCACCACUGCUAGUAGAAUAGCCAAGAACGCGCUUCAAUCGCCAAGAGUUUGAAGGUAAUUUCAUACUUGUGUGUAACCCCUGCGGGGCCUCCCGAAAGGGAAAACCAUAUGUAAAUUAUGUUGUGGAAAUGAUAUAGUUUCUUGGUCUCACUUAGUAUUUUUAUUUAUGAAUUUAUGGGACGAGUUCUUAUGCUAGGGAUCUUAUAGGAGAAACCUCUACGUGUGUAGUUCUCUGUGUAGCCCAGAGUGGCGUUUGAAUGAGAACCUUGUGGUCAUAGAGAAGUGUUCCCUUCGGGUGGAACUGCCUGGGAAGACGAUAGGAAUUUACCCCAUAAAUUUGCAAUUAAAACUGGUAAGUGAACGUAACUAGCUAUAUCUGAGACAACAUAAUGAUAAAUAUGGUGAGUACUGAGUAGGAUUUCACACUUCUGCGGACACCGUCGGACGAAUUGUUGGCCUCGCCAGCCCAGAUUAGAUCCUAUAUCAAAUAAAUAAUCAAGUUAGAACGUUCUGACUUGAUUAUUUAUUCAAUAUGAUUACCUUCACGUUCUAACUUGAUUAUUUAUUUGAUACAGGAUCUAUUCUGGGCUGGCGAGGCCAACAAUUCGUCCGACACUUCUACUGAGUACUCACCAUAUUUAUCAUUAUGUUGUAUCAGAUGUAGCUAGUUACGUUCACUUAGCAGUUUUAAUUGCAAAUUUAUGGGGUAAAUUCCUAUCGUCUUCUCAAGCAGUUCCAUCCGAAGGGAACACUUCUCUACGACCACAAGGUUCUCAUUCAAACGCCACUCUGGGCUACACAGAGAACUACACACGUAGAGGUUUCUCCUAUAGGAUCCCUAGCAUAAGAACUCGUCCCAUAAAUUCAUAAAUAAAAAUACUAAGUGAGACCAAGAAACUACAUCAUUUCCACAACAUAAUUUACAUAUGGUUUUCCCUUUCGGGAGGCUCCGAAGGGAUUACACACAACUAGGAAAUUACCUUCAAACUCUUGGCGAUCGAGGCGCCUUCUUGGCUAUCCUACUAGAAGUGGUGGUGGCUACACUACGAAGGAAACGGUGCUCUGGUGGAGAUUUUUGAUGCUCUGAGUGCUUCGUGCUCUCCCGUCUUGUGUUCUCUUCUUGAGCCCAGCAUCUCCUUUUAUAGCCGCGAGGAAUGGCUGCAAGGGAGGCCUUCGGGAGCCUUCCUUCACUUAUUUUACAUACGGUAGUAUGCACGCGUGUCCUACUAGGAUACAUGCGUGUCCUUCUAAUAAUAUAGAAAAGUGCGAGAGAGAGUGCCGACAAACUUCAAUCUUCAGGAAUCUUUGCUUUGUUCACGUGGCAUUGUCUCUCGGUGAAUAAUUGGCUGGCCUUUGUGUACCAGUCUUUGUUCUUCAGCCAUACAGAUCUUCAUGCGAUUAGCCUUCAGAGCUUCUUCUGCUUUCAAGAAUCCUUGUGCCAGUGUAUGCGUACAUAAAUGCCAAGGCUGCUUAAAUAUUCAGCAUUGCUUCAUUUAUUUUUAGUUUAACUUGGUUAAGUAUUCAACAUUACUUAUUCAUUUUUUUUCAAUUUUUUUCAGGAGGUCUUCCCUGCCCAUAUGAUAGAUAAUACCUUAUCAAUAUUUAAAAUAUCUAUUCUUGGAAUUUCUAUCAAUAUUCGGGUCGGGUAUAGUGCUCUGAUACCAACAAUAUAGGGAAUAUUAAAUUAAAUGACUUUAUUUAGCUUAAUAUGAGAUUAGAUUUUGAUUAGAUUAAUAUGGGAUUAGGUGAAAGUGGUAGACAGGUAUGCUUUUUAUCUCGAAUAGUAUUUACUGUUCACCAGGUAGGGCACUAUUCACAAUAGUAUUUACUAUUUAGUACAUUAUUUGGAAUAGUGCUUCACUAUUCACAGUAAUAUUUAAUUUAAUAUGAUUACCUUCGCAUUCUAACUUGAUUAUUUAUUUGAUAUAGGAUCUAUACUGGGCUGGGGAGGCCAACAAUUCGUCCGACGGUGUGCACAGAGGUGUAAAACCCUACUCAGUACUCACCAUAUUUAUCAUUAUGUUGUAUCAGAUGUAGCUAGUUACGUUCACUUAGCAGUUUUAAUUGCAAAUUUAUGGGGUAAAUUCCUAUCGUCUUCCCAGGCAGUUCCACCCGAAGGGAACACUUCUCUACGGCCACAAGGUUCUCAUUCAAACGCCACUCUGGGCUACACAGAGAACUACACACGCAGAGGUUUCUCCUAUAGGAUCCCUAGCAUAAGAACUCGUCCCAAAAAUUCAUAAAUAAAAAUACUAAGUGAGACCAAGAAACAUAUCAUUUCCACAACAUAAUUUACAUAUGGUUUUCCCUUUCGGGAGGCCCCGAAGGGAUUACACACAACUAGGAAAUUACCUUCAAACUGUUGGCGAUCGAAGCGCCUUCUUGGCUAUUCUACUAGCAGUGGUGGUGGCUAAACUACGAAGGAAACGGUGCUCUGGUGGAGAGUUUUGAUGCUCUGAGUGCUUCGUGCUCUCCUGUCUUGUGUUCUCUUCUUGAACCCAGCGUCUCCUUUUAUAGCCGUGAGGGAUGGCUGCAAGGGAGGCCUUCGGGAGCCUUCCUUCACUUAUUUUACACACGGUAGUAUGCACGCGUGUCCUACUAGGGUACAUGCGUGUCCUUCUAAUAAUAUAGAAAAGUGCGAGAGAGAGUGCCGACAAACUUCAAUCUUCAGGAAUCUUUGCUUUGUUCACGUGGCAUUGUCUCUCGGUGAAUAAUUGGCUGGCCUUUGUGUACCAGUCUUUGUUCUUCAGCCAUACAGAUCUUCAUGCGAUUAGCCUUCAGAGCUUCUUCUGCUUUCAAGAAUCCAUGUGCCAGUGUAUGCGUACAUACAUGCCAAGGCUGCUUAAAUAUUCAGCAUUGCUUCAUUUAUUUUUAAUUUAACUUGGUUAAGUAUUCAACAUUACUUAUUCAUUUUUUCAAUUUUUUUCAGGAGGUCUUCCCUGCCCAUAUGAUUGAUAAUACCUUAUCAAUAUUUAAAAUAUCUAUUCUUGGAAUUUCUAUCAAUAUUCGGGUCGGGUAUAGUGCUCUGAUACCAACAAUAUAGGGAAUAUUAAAUUAAAUGACUUUAUUUAGCUUAAUAGGAAAUUAGAUUUUGAUUAGGUUAAUAUGGGAUUAGGUGAAAGUGGUAGACAGGUAUGCUUUUUAUCUCGAAUAGUAUUUACUGUUCACUAGGUAGGGCACUAUUCACAAUACUAUUUACUAUUUAGUACACUAUUUGGAAUAGUUCUUCACUAUUCACAGUAAUAUUUAAUUCAGUAUGAUUAGCUUCACAUUCUAACUUGAUUAUUUAUUUGAUAUAGGUUCUAUUCUGGGCUGGCGAGGCCAACAAUUCGUCCGACGGUGUGCACAGCGGUGUAAAACCCUACUCAGUACUCACCAUAUUUAUCAUUAUGUUGUAUCAGAUGUAGCUAGUUACGUUCACUUAGCAGUUUUAAUUGCAAAUUUAUGGGGUAAAUUCCUAUCGUCUUCCCAGGCAGUUCCACCCGAAGGGAACACUUCUCUACGGCCACAAGGUUCUCAUUCAAACGCCACUCUGGGCUACACAGAGAACUACACACGCAGAGGUUUCUCCUAUAGGAUCCCUAGCAUAAGAACUCGUCCCAAAAAUUCAUAAAUAAAAAUACUAAGUGAGACCAAGAAACAUAUCAUUUCCACAACAUAAUUUACAUAUGGUUUUCCCUUUCGGGAGGCCCCGAAGGGAUUACACACAACUAGGAAAUUACCUUCAAACUGUUGGCGAUCGAAGCGCCUUCUUGGCUAUUCUACUAGCAGUGGUGGUGGCUAAACUACGAAGGAAACGGUGCUCUGGUGGAGAGUUUUGAUGCUCUGAGUGCUUCGUGCUCUCCUGUCUUGUGUUCUCUUCUUGAACCCAGCGUCUCCUUUUAUAGCCGUGAGGGAUGGCUGCAAGGGAGGCCUUCGGGAGCCUUCCUUCACUUAUUUUACACACGGUAGUAUGCACGCGUGUCCUACUAGGGUACAUGCGUGUCCUUCUAAUAAUAUAGAAAAGUGCGAGAGAGAGUGCCGACAAACUUCAAUCUUCAGGAAUCUUUGCUUUGUUCACGUGGCAUUGUCUCUCGGUGAAUAAUUGGCUGGCCUUUGUGUACCAGUCUUUGUUCUUCAGCCAUACAGAUCUUCAUGCGAUUAGCCUUCAGAGCUUCUUCUGCUUUCAAGAAUCCAUGUGCCAGUGUAUGCGUACAUACAUGCCAAGGCUGCUUAAAUAUUCAGCAUUGCUUCAUUUAUUUUUAAUUUAACUUGGUUAAGUAUUCAACAUUACUUAUUCAUUUUUUCAAUUUUUUUCAGGAGGUCUUCCCUGCCCAUAUGAUUGAUAAUACCUUAUCAAUAUUUAAAAUAUCUAUUCUUGGAAUUUCUAUCAAUAUUCGGGUCGGGUAUAGUGCUCUGAUACCAACAAUAUAGGGAAUAUUAAAUUAAAUGACUUUAUUUAGCUUAAUAGGAAAUUAGAUUUUGAUUAGGUUAAUAUGGGAUUAGGUGAAAGUGGUAGACAGGUAUGCUUUUUAUCUCGAAUAGUAUUUACUGUUCACUAGGUAGGGCACUAUUCACAAUACUAUUUACUAUUUAGUACACUAUUUGGAAUAGUUCUUCACUAUUCACAGUAAUAUUUAAUUCAGUAUGAUUAGCUUCACAUUCUAACUUGAUUAUUUAUUUGAUAUAGGUUCUAUUCUGGGCUGGCGAGGCCAACAAUUCGUCCGACGGUGUGCACAGCGGUGUAAAACCCUACUCAGUACUCACCAUAUUUAUCAUUAUGUUGUAUCAGAUGUAGCUAGUUACGUUCACUUAGCAGUUUUAAUUGCAAAUUUAUGGGGUAAAUUCCUAUCGUCUUCCCACGCAGUUCCACCCGAAGGGAACACUUCUCUACGGCCACAAGGUUCUCAUUCAAACGCCACUCUGGGCUACACAGAGAACUACACACGCAGAGGUUUCUCCUAUAGGAUCCCUAGCAUAAGAACUCGUCCGAUAAAUUCAUAAAUAAAAAUGCUAAGUGAGACCAAGAAACAUAUCAUUUCCACAACAUAAUUUACAUAUGGUUUUCCCUUUCGGGAGGCCCCGAAGGGAUUACACACAACUAGGAAAUUACCUUCAAACUCUCGGCGAUCGAAGCGCCUUCUUGGCUAUUCUACUAGCAGUGGUGGUGGCUAAACUACGAAGGAAACGGUGCUCUGGAGGAGAGUUUUGAUGCUCUGAGUGCUUCCCGCUCUCCUGUCUUGUGUUCUCUUCUUGAACCCAGCGUCUCCUUUUAUAGCCGCGAGGGAUGGCUGCAUGGGAGGCCUUCGGGAGCCUUCCUUCACUUAUUUUACACAUGGUAGUAUGCACGCGUGUCCUACUAGGGUACAUGCGUGUCCUUCUAAUAAUAAAGAAAAGUGCGAGAGAGAGUGCCGACAAACUUCAAUCUUCAGGAAUCUUUGCUUUCUUCACGUGGCAUUGUCUCUCGGUGAAUAAUUGGCUGGCCUUUAUGUUCCAGUCUUUGUUCUUCGGCCAUACAGAUCUUCAUGCGAUUAGCCUUCAGAGCUUCUUCUGCCUUCAAGAAUCCUUGCGCCAGUGUAUGCGUACAUACAUGCCAAGGCUGCUUAAAUAUUCAUCAUUGCUUCAUUUAUUUUUAAUUUAACUUGCUUAAGUAUUCAACAUUACUUAUUCAUUUUAUUUUCAAAUUGUUUUCAGGGGGUCUUCCCUGCCCAUAUGAUUGAUAAUACCUUAUCAAUAUUUAAAAUAUCUAUUCUUGGAAUUUCUAUCAAUAUUCGGGUCGGGUAUAGUCCUCCGCGCCCGAAUAAUUGAUAGCAAUAUCAAUAUAGGCAACUUGGGCUUUAUUCAGGUCGCUGCCCAUGCCCUGCUAUGUCCAUAUGAUCAUCAUCAUCAUUUAACAUAUUGAAAUCAUAUUUUUGAUCGCAUUCUUUCUUUAUUUCUUCAAUUUUUUUGUUUAUUUCAUGCCUUAAUUCUUUUAAUAUUUCUUAUUUCAAUUCUUUUUUCAUUAUUUUUGAAAAAAUUCAAAUCUUUUAUCCAUUUCUUGAUCUAUGUAUUCACUGUCUAAACGGUCAAGCCCCUUUAGAAGGCAUUCUUGAUAUGUCUUAUAUUUUGGAGAUUAUUCCUUCUUUAUAUUGUUGAGCUUGAUGCCUCCCCCUUUGUGGGAGUUGGUGAAGUAGGUAUGCCUCUUCUCAUUUGGAUAUAAUCUUUAGCCUUUGGGUCAAUAUAAUAAUCUGGUCCUAAUACCUUUUUCGCCCAAAGUAAGGCAUCAUCUAUACUAUAAUAUCUUUUGAAUGUUAAAUCUUUUCCUUUUCUUUUUGCAUCUAAUUUUUCAAUCAUAAAAUUUUCCCAUUCCAAAUAUAUGCCAGGUUUAUUUCCAUCAAGUAUAAGAUAUAGUGUUUCUCCUUUUGGUAUUUCAGUCUUUUCUGGCUUUGGCAAUUUUUUGUUUAGUUCGCUAAAAUAUUCUGCCAAGCUAUUCAGAAUUGAUAACAUAUAUCCCAUUUCCACUCUUUUGGUGGUAUAUUGGAACCAGAAAUUAUCCAAUAUGCAGCGUUGAACUUCAUCAAGCUUGAUAUGAGCCUUUGGCUUGAAAUUGAAUGUAUUUGGUUGAAAUACUUUCAGCCUAUUUUAUUCUCCAAAGAAGAUGUAUUCCUCCUUGGUGUGGAAUAAUCCUUUCCUCAUAUCUGCAAAUUUGAUGCACGAGAAAAUAUGUCAGGUAAGGUAUUAUCCGUCCCCUUAAUAUGCUCAAAAAUAACUUUAUAACCAUUCCCAGCUAUGGUAUCUUCAAAUAAGACCCAUCUUCUGGUUGAGCUUUUCUUACUAUUAAUUUUAUUGUAAUAUCGACAUAUAGCUUCACAGUCUGUUCGCACUGUAAAUUCUUUAAAUCCUAGAUAUAGCCUAAAUGCAUUUAUUGCAUUUACAACUGCAAGGAUUUCCCUAUCAAUAUUAUUUACCGUUUUUAAUUUGUAACUUCCUGAAGCAUAUCUGCAUAUUUUUUUCAUCUGCCUUUGGAUAGUAUUUAUUGGGCUUUUGUUUUAGUAUUGCACCUAAUCCUACCUUAGAUGCAUCUGUCUCAAUUAUAAAAUAAUUGUCUUCUAGAGGCAAUUCUUGACUUUUUCUUUGAUGGCCUUUAUUAAUUUUAUAUCUUCAGAAUUGAAGUAUCUUUGACCAUUUUUUCUUAAUUUAGCAUAUAAAGGUCCUGCUAGCUUUGCUAAGUUAUCUAUAUAGUUUCGCGCAUAGUUUAAACUUCCUAAGAAUUGCUGUAAAACGUUUUUAUCACUCAUAUUAUCAGGAAACCCUAAUAUUUUCUAUGCAAGAUGAUCUUGUAGAUAUAUCUUUCCUUCUCCUAUUUCAUGACCAAGGACAUUUAUUUUCUCUUUGCAAAUUUCCAUCUUCUUUUUAGAUAGUAUGAGCCCAUUUUGUUCUACCUUUCUAAAGAACACUUCAAGAUGAGCUAUAUGCUCUUUGUAUGAUUUGGAGAAUACUAACAAAUCAUCUACGUAUACCAAUAUAAAUGCUUGAUUCUCAUUAAAUAUAUUUUGCAUUUUUCUUCGAAAUAAUGCAGGCGCAUUCUUUAGACCUAAUGGCAUUACUUGCCAUUCAUAAUGGCCUUGUGGACAAGUAAAUGCUGUCCAGGGAAUAGAUUCUUCAGCCAUUUUUACUUGCCAAAAUCCUACCUUUAAGUCGAAUUUAGAGAAAUAUUUACUUCCUUGUAUUCUGUUAAUCCAUUCCUGCUUAUUAGGUAUGUUGUAUGCAUCGUCAACUGUAUUAUCAUUAAGCCUUUUAAAAUUAAUUACCAUUCUAGAUUUACCUCUAACUUCUUCACCAUGAUUUCUAACUAUGAAUGCAGCAGACCGAUAAGGGUUUCUGCUUUCUCUUAUAGCCUUUAACUUUAAUAACUCUUCAAUAUGCAUUUUGAACUCUUCAAUAUCUUUUGGAGUAGCUUCUAUUGGUCCUGACAUAAUUAUAUAAUCUGGAUUUAUGAUAUUUAUUUUGCAAACUAUAGAGUUCUUAUCCCAAUGUUUCAUUGGUAUUUCUCCAAUAAUUUGUAUGCUUUCUAGUCUUUGCACAAUCUUAUCUAUAUCCUUUUUAGAUUUUAUAUCUCUAUACCAAUUUGGAGAGAAUGAUUGUAACCCAAUGCAUUCUGUACAUGUAUUUUCUAUAUGAUAUUCUUCUAUGGUCUCACUAAGUUCUUCGUCUUUACAGAAUUCAAGGGGAUUUGGACUUGUGCCAUAUUCAUCAUCUAAAUUAGAUAUUUCUACAUUUUGUAAGGACUUUCUUUGUUUUCUUACUUAUGAUAUGUAUGGAAUAUUAUCUUGAUAAGGGAUAAAUGUUACCCUUUCUUCAUGUAUGAUUGUGGUUUGUAAAGAUUGUUGUAAAAAUCUUAACCCUAUUAUCAUGUCAUCAUUUAUUACUGACAAAUCUCUUAUUGUAAUUUCAUCUAUUAUAUAUUUUGUGCCAUUUAUAUAAGCUUCAAUAUUAUAUGCUAGCUGAUUAUGUAUCUUCUUUAUUCCUGACAUAUCGGUAGAUACUUCAGCUUUAUUAUCAUCUAUAGUUUCAACUAUUUCGGGACAUCUCAUAAAAUAUUUAUCAUGGAUGAUGUUCUUAGCGCAACUAGUAUCUAAUAGUGCCUAUAUUUUAUAUGAAAUAUUUGGCUUAAGAACAAUCCUAACUGGAAUCCUUAUUCCUAACACUUCUUUGAAUGGUAAUCGAACAAUAUAUUUAUUCCCAAAACUAGUAAUUGCAUCUUUCAAUUGUAUUAGUUUGUCUCCUUUUUUAUCCCUUACUGUUACCAUUUGCUCCUUCACUUCCGUGGUUUCAGCAACAUUAUUGUCUUGCCUAUUACUAUUUUCUAACUAAUCUUUAAGUUUUUCUAGUUCUGCUUCUAGCUUAUUUAUUUUAUUUUCUAAAUUUCUAACCCUAUUGGAUAAUAUUCGUUCUUCUGGUUCUAAUUCUAUUUCUUGUCUCCACUUUUGAUUAUUGGCUCUUAGACAUGAGGCGCAUGCCUGUUUUAAACACAAGCUACAUGUAAACCUAUUAUCUUGGCUUGGGUAAUAUAUACAGAAAGCACAUUUUAUGUUAUAAUCACCUUUUCCUCUAAUCCAAUCAUGUUCACAAUCUACUUGGUUCAUCAUUUCAAUUUUUAAACCGGCUAAUUCAUCUAUUAGGUCUAUUUCAUCUUCACUUGAUUCAUAUUCUGGAGCCUCAUUUUCUACUUCAUCUGUCUCUAUAAUUGAAUAUAUUGACUCAUCGUCUUUUAUUUCAUCAUCACAUACUAAUAUAUUCUCAUUAACGCUAUCUAUAAUUAAUACUCUCUCUUGUUCUUCAUAUUUGCUAGAGUAUCUUUUCUGGUCUUUAUUAGGACAAGUUCUACUUAAGUGAUCAGGAGAGUUACAUAUGAAACACCUGCAUGUUUUAUCAUAGGUUUUCUUAGGAUUAUAUCUUCUUACAUUUCUUUUAUGUAAGAAUGGGGCUCUAUUGUCUGACCUUCUUAAGAAAUAUCUUUUCUUUGUUCUAAAAUUUCUAUUAUCUCUCCUUUGUGGUUUAUAAUAUUUGUUUUUCCUAUGCCUUUCUUCUCCAUAUGUUAGUGGUAUUUGGACAAUGUUAUUGCAAAAAUUGUAAUCUGAUUUCUUCAUACUUCUUUGGGCUUGAAUGCUAGUACAUACCUUUCUUAGCUGUUUGAAAACAAAUGUUAUGGCUUGGGAUAUAUUUACCACAUUUCCUCCUGUUUCUUUUUUAUACUCCUCAAAUAUUAUGGAACCUAGAGGAUCGGGCAACUUAUUAAAAUAUCUUUCUACUACACCUACAUUAAAACCUUGUUUAGCAGUAGUAGCAUUAUACAAAUAAUGCUGAGAGAAUUCUUUUAUACCUUUCCAGCUAGUUAAUGUUAAAUUUUCUAUUUCUCUUAACCUCUCAUUUUGUAAUGAGGUAUGUCCUAAUUCUGGAUCUUCUGCUAUGAUCAUAUUUGAGAUAACAUUCGCAAAGUUAUUAGGGUUACUUCCUGCCCUUUUUAAUUCUUCAUAUUGACUAGGGUAUGACUCUACCCAUUGUUCCCAUAGAACUUUUACAGAUUCUCCUAAAAAUGUUUCAAGAUAUGUUAACAUAUCUUCUACCUUAGUGCCUAUAUUAUACUGAUUUUGUAUCUAUUUUUGUACUAUUAAACCUUUCCAUAUGCUGAUUAUAUUAGGCCAAUCUAUUGGAUCAUGAGCUGCUAGGUUUAAUAUAGCGCCAUCAUUCUUAUAAUUCUGAAAUUGCACUGGUUUUUAAAAAUCUCUUCUUUUAGUACCCAUAUAUCUAUAUUGUCCUGGGAUAUAUGUAGGUUGAUAAUCAUCUUUUUCUCAAGGCCAUUGUCCAGCUGAUCUGGUAGGUCUCUCUCUUUCUCCUUCUCUUUUUACAGAUGAUUCUCCAUAUCCCCUUCUUCUUUUUCCACUAUUUUCUACUUCCAUGGCUUCCAUUGCAUUAUCUAAAUUAUGCAGUCCCACAUCAUCUAGUGAGUUAUAGAAAUCACUAUUUUGUUCUGAAUCAUCAUAUCUUUCAUCUUCUAACCACAUUUCUUUUAUUAAUUCUUCCUCCUCCUCAUAACUUUCUAAUAAUAACUUAUUAUUGAUAUCCCAUUGCUCUUCUUCACUAACAACUUCUUCCUUUGAACAAUAUUCUAAUCUUUAUUAUUAUUAUUAUUAUUAUUAUUAUUAUUAAUGAUAGCAUUUUUAUUAAUAAUAGCCUUUGCUUUUCUUUCUGCAGAUUCUAUAAUUUUAUCUUCCAUGGUUGAACUACUAGUGACAAACUUUUUAUCAUUUUUUAGUUUCUUUAACCUUGCAAUUUCUCUAAUGAUAAAUAGUUCUCUUUCUUUAAUUUCAGGCCAAUCCUUUGUCAUAGAAUGACUAUAUUCCCAUUCAAUAUGUUUUAGCUUCUUUUCCCAAUGAAUUAUUUCAUUUUCUAAAUCAGCCUUUUCCAUGCAUUCAGAUAUACCUUUAUUUUUAUCAUCAUUAAUUUCUGAUUCUGACAUAAAAGAUUCAGAGUCUUCUACUGAUGCAGCUCUAUAGUUCAUAAAUCGAAUACUGCUACUUCCUUCACAAUUUUGAUAGCUUAUGUAGUUUUCAGGUUGCUUUAACUCUUUUUUCUCUAUUAAUUCACCUAUCUUGCAUUCUUCUCCAGCUCUUUCUUCAGAACCAAUUUUAAGAGGAUUCAUAAACUUUAUACCUUUUGAUUGCAUACUAUCAAUUACGUCAUUCACAUUUACUCUAUAUCUGGAGCUACUUCUAUUAGUGAGCCUUCCUAUAAAUUAUAUACUUACUAACAAAUUUGUUCCUUUAAAAUCUUCAUAACCUUUAGUUUGGAAACCAAAACUCAUUUUUUCAAUAAAUUCUUUUACGGGCAUCAUUAGGUCUGGAGCUAUAUAGGCUAUUAAUCUAUUUUCAUUCAUGUCUCCUUCCAAAAAUCCUAAUGCUGCCGUUUCUACAGAUUCCCAUCUUCUGUCUAAUAAAGUUAUCAAAACCUUCGCACCUAAUUUCUUCCUUGUCCUACCUUUGACUCCUAUGAUAUACAUGCCUUGAUGAAUAUAUUUGUAACCAUAAUAUUUUAAUUCAUUUUCAAUAUUUUUUCUUACAAUUCUUAAAUCUACUGGAUGUGUUAACACACUUAAUUCUACUUCUCGAGAUAUUCUGUAUAGACCACUCUUACAUUCAAACAUACCCAUAUGAUAUACUUGUUGCGGCUUUAUUUUUCUUAGGGUAUCUUUUUGAUAUCUAUCUAUAUCUCUUUGUAUAUCUAUAACUUCUUCAAUACUAUCAAUAUCAUCAGCUUUGCAUGAUAAUCUAUGCUUCAUGGCUAGAGGUCUUGAAUCUUGCCUUACUAAUUGAAGAGUUUUGUCUCUUCUAAGGAAGCCUUUAGAUACGUCCAUUUUUCUGAAUUAAUAUAUCUAGUAGAGGAAACUAUUCCAGAUGAUGAUAGCACAAUUUCUUUGUUGCUUUGAACACUUUUUAGCUUAUAUAAUACUUGAAUGAAGAGUUGGAUGAUUGUGUUAUUUUUUCUUAUUAUUACUUUGGAAUCUUCUUUUGGGGAGUCGUGAUCGGAGAACCCGACAGGAGGUGACAGGUAUUUUGCUACUUCGUUUAAUGCUUGAGUAUAUUCAGUCAUAUAAUUAUGAGAUAAUCAAAGUUUUAACCUCUUGCACCAACUUUUUUAUUUCAAGUAUAUCUUGUCUUGAUUCAGUGCGUGGGAGUGACUCUUUGCCUUUACUUAGGUAGCGGCCUAUUGAUAGCACUUCCUCUUUAAUAUAAUCGUUAUUCUUGCAAACUGUAUUCUGUCUUGCUUUUGCUACCUCUAGCUUAUGUAAAGCUAGAUCAAUUUUAUUAUUCAACCCUGAAUAAUUAUCAGCAAGCUUUUGGUAUUCUUUGAAUAAACUUUCAAAUUUUUGGUCUAAAUUAUCUUGUCUUUUUCCCCAAGCUAUGUAAAAAUUAUAUAUCAAAUCGACGACUGUAUUUAACUGGCUAUGAGAUGUAUGCCAAAUAUGCUCUUCAGAGGGAUUUACUCUACACCUUAUAUUUAGAUUUUCCUUAGUAUUUAUUACUUUACCUGCGCUAACUUCUAAGUUUAAAUAUUUUAACCUUUCAAUGAUUAAACACUGGACCUGAUACCAACAAUAUAGGCUAUAAUAAAUUAAAUGACUUUAUUUAGCUUAAUAUGAGAUUAGAUUUUGAUUAGGUUAAUAUGGGAUUAGGUGAAAGUGGUAGUCAGGUAUGUGUUUUAUCUUCAAUAGUAUUUACAGUUCACUAGGUAGGGCACUAUUCACAAUAGUAUUUACUAUUUAGUACACUAUUUGGAAUAGUGCUUCACUAUUCACAUUAAUAUUUAAUUCAAUAUGAUUACGUUCACGUUCUAACUUGAUUAUUUAUUUGAUAUAGGAUCUAUUCUGGUCUGGCGAGGCCAACAAUUCGUCCGACGGUGUGCGCAGAGGUGUAAAAUCCUACUCAGUACUCACAAUAUUUAUCAUUAUGUUGUAUCAGAUGUAGCUAGUUACGUUCACUUAGCAGUUUUAAUUGCAAAUUUAUGGGGUAAAUUCCUAUCGUCUUCCCAGGCAGUUCCACCCGAAGGGGACACUUCUCUAUGGCCACAAGGUUCUCAUUCAAACGCCACUCUGGGCUACACAAAGAACUACACACGCAGAGGUUUCUCCUAUAGGAUCCCUAGCAUAAGAACUCGUCCCAUAAAUUCAUAAGUAAAAAUACUAAGUGAGACCAAGAAACUACAUCAUUUCCACAACAUAAUUUACAUAUGGUUUUCCCUUUUCGGGAGGCCCCGAAGGGAUUACACACAACUAGGAAAUUACCUUCAAACUCUUGGCGAUCGAAGCGCCAUCUUGGCUAUUCUACUAGCAGUGGUGGUGCCUAAACUACGAAGGAAACGCUGCUCUGGUGGAGAGUUUUGAUGCUCUGAGUGCUUCGUGCUCUCCCGUCUUGUGUUCUUUUCUUGAGCCCAGCGUCUCCUUUUAUAGCCGCGAGGGAUGGCUGCAAGGGAGGCCUUCGGGAGCCUUCCUUCACUUAUUUUAUACACGGUAGUAUGCACGCGUGUCCUACUAGGGUACACGCGUGUCCUUCUAAUAAUAUAGAAAAGAGCGAGAGAGAGUGCCGACAAACUUCAAUCUUCAGGAAUCUUUACUUUCUUCACGUGGCAUUGUCUCUCGGUGAAUAAUUGGCUGGCCUUUGUGUACCAGUCUUUGUUCUUCGGCCAAACAGAUCUUCAUGCGAUUAGCCUUCAGAGCUUCUUCUGCCUUCAAGAAUCCUUGUGCCAGUGUAUGCGUACAUACAUGCCAAGGCUGCUUAAAUAUUCAGCAUUGCGUUAUUUAUUUUUCAUUUAACUUGCUUAAAUAUUCAACAUUACUUAUCCAUUUUUUUUCAAUUUUUUUUCCAGGAGGUCUUCCCUGCCCAUAUGAUUGAUAAUACCUUAUCAAUAUUUAAAAUAUCUAUUCUUGGAAUUUCUAUCAAUAUUCGGGUCGGGUAUAGUGCUCUGAUACCAACAAUAUAGGGAAUAUUAAAUUAAAUGACUUUAUUUAGCUUAAUAUGAGAUUAGAUUUUGAUUAGGUUAAUAUGGGAUUAGGUGAAAGUGUUAGACAGGUAUGCUUUUUAUCUUGAAUAGUAUUUACUGUUCACUAGGUAGGGCACUAUUCACAAUACUAUUUACUAUUUAGUACACUAUUUGGAAUAGUGCUUCACUAUUCAUAGUAAUAUUUAAUACAAUAUAAUUACCUUCACGUUCUAACUUGAUUAUUUAUUUGAUACAUGAUCUAUUCUGGGAUGGCGAGGCCAACAAUUCGUCCGACGGUGUGCGCAGAGGUGUAAAAUCCUACUGAGUACUCACCAUAUUUAUCAUUAUGUUGUAUUAGAUGUAGCUAGUUACGUGCACUUAGCAGUUUUAAUUGCAAAUUUAUGGGGUAAAUUCCUAUCGUCUUCCCAGGCAGUUCCACCCGAACGGAACACUUUUCUACGGCCACAAGGUUCUCAUUCAAACGCCACUCUAGGCUACACAGAGAACUACACACGCAGAGGUUUUUCCUAUAGGAUCCCUAGCAUAAGAACUCGUCCCAUAAAUUCAUAAAUAAAAAUACUAAGUGAGACCAAGAAACUACAUCAUUUCCACAACAUAAUUUACAUAAGGUUUUCCAUUUCGGGAGGCCCCGAAUGGAUUACACACAACUAGGAAAUUACCUUCAAACUCUUGGCGAUCGAAGUGCCUUCUUGCCUAUUCUACUAGCAGUGGUGGUGGCUAAACUACGAAGGAAACGUUGCUCUAGUGGACAGUUUUGAUGCUCUGAGUGCUUCGUGCUCUCCCGUCUUGUGUUCUCUUCUUGAGCCCAGCGUCUCCUUUUAUAGCCGCGAGGGAUGGCUGCAAGGGAGGCCUUCGGGAGCCUUCCUUCACUUAUUUUACACACGGUAGUAUGCACGCGUGUCCUACUAGAGUACAUGCGUGUCCUUCUAAUAAUAUAGAAAAGUGCGAGAGAGAGUGCCGACAAACUUCAAUCUUCAGGAAUCUUUACUUUCUUCACGUUGCAUUGUCUCUCGGUGAAUAAUUGCCUGGCCUUUGUGUACCAGUCUUUGUUCUUCGGCCAAACAGAUCUUCAUGCGAUUAGCCUUCAGAGCUUCUUCUGCCUUCAAGAAUCCUUAUGCCAGUGUAUGCGUACAUACAUGCCAAGGCUGCUUAAAUAUUUAGCAUUGCUUUAUUUAUUUUUCAUUUGACUUGCUUAAAUAUUCAACAUUACUUAUCCAUUUUUUUUCAAUUUUUUUCCAGGAGGUCUUCCCUGCCCAUAUGAUUGAUAAUACCUUAUCAAUAUUUAAAAUAUCUAUUCUUGGAAUUUCUAUCAAUAUUCGGGUCGGGUAUAGUGCUCUGAUACCAACAAUAUAGGGAAUAUUAAAUUAAAUGACUUUAUUUAGCUUAAUAUGAGAUUAGAUUUUGAUUAGGUUAAUAUGGGAUUAGGCGAAAGUGUUAGACAGGUAUGCUUUUUAUCUGGAAUAGUAUUUACUGUUCACUAGGUAGGGCACUAUUCACAAUACUAUUUACUAUUUAGUACACUAUUUGGAAUAGUGCUUCACUAUUCAUAGUAAUAUUUAAUUCAAUAUAAUUACCUUCACGUUCUAACUUGAUUAUUUAUUUGAUACAUGAUCUAUUCUGGGAUGGCGAGGCCAACAAUUCGUCCGACGGUGUGCGCAGAGGUGUAAAAUCCUACUGAGUACUCACCAUAUUUAUCAUUAUGUUGUAUCAGAUGUAGCUAGUUACGUGCACUUAGCAGUUUUAAUUGCAAAUUUAUGGGGUAAAUUCCUAUCGUCUUCCCAGUCAGUUCCACCCGAAGGGAACACUUUUCUACGGCCACAAGGUUCUCAUUCAAACGCCACUCUGGGCUACACAGAGAACUACACACGCAGAGGUUUCUCCUAUAGGAUCCCUAGCAUAAGAACUCGUCCCAUAAAUUCAUAAAUAAAAAUACUAAGUGAGACCAAGAAACUACAUCAUUUCCACAACAUAAUUUACAUAAGGUUUUCCAUUUCGGGAGGCCCCGAAUGGAUUACACACAACUAGGAAAUUACCUUCAAACUCUUGGCGAUCGAAGUGCCUUCUUGCCUAUUCUACUAGCAGUGGUGGUGUCUAAACUACGAAGGAAACGUUGCUCUAGUGGAGAGUUUUGAUGCUCUGAGUGCUUCGUGCUCUCCCGUCUUGUGUUCUCUUCUUGAGCCCAGCGUCUUCUUUUAUAGCCGCGAGGGAUGGCUGCAAGGGAGGCCUUCGGGAACCUUCCUUCACUUAUUUUACACACGGUAGUAUGCACGCGUGUCCUACUAGGGUACAUGCGUGUCCUUCUAAUAAUAUAGAAAAGUGCGAGAGAGAUUGCCGACAAACUUCAAUCUUCAGGAAUCUUUUGCUUUCUUCACGUGGCAUUGUCUCUCGGUGAAUAAUUGGCUGGCCUUUGUGUACCAGUCUUUGUUCUUCGGCCAUACAGAUCUUCAUGCGAUUAGCCUUCAGAGCUUCUUCUGCCUUCAAGAAUCCUUGUGCCAGUGUAUGCGUACAUACAUGCCAAGGCUGCUUGAAUAUUCAGCAUUGCUUCAUUUAUUUUUAAUUUAACUUGCUUAAAUAUUCAACAUUACUUAUUCACUUUUUUCUCAAUUUUUUUUCAGGGGUCUUCCCUGCCCAUAUGAUUGAUAAUACCUUAUCAAUAUUUAAAAUAUCUAUUCUUGGAAUUUCUAUCAAUAUUCGGGUCGGGUAUAGUCCUCCGCGCCCGAAUAAUUGAUAGCAAUAUCAAUAGGCAACUUGGGUUUUAUUCAGGUCGCUGCCCAUGCCCUGCUAUGUCCAUAUGAUCAUCGUCAUCAUAUAACAGAUUGAAAUAAUAUUUUUGAUCGCAUUCUUUCUUUAUUUCUUCAAAUUUUUCGUUUAUUUUAUGCCUUAAUUCUUUUAAUAUUUCUUCUUUCAGUUCUUUUUUCAUUAUUUUUUAAAAUUCUUCAAAUCUUUUAUCCAUUUCUUGAUCUAUGUAUUCACUGUCUAAAGGGUCAAGCCCCUUUAGAAGGCAUUCUUGAUAUGUCUUAUAUUUUGGAGAUUCUUCCAUCUUUAUAUUUUUUGAGCUUGCUGCCUCCCCCUUUGUGGGAGUGGUGAAGUAGGUAUGCCUCUUCUCAUUUGGAUAUAAUCUUUAGCCUUUGGGUCAAUAUAAUAAUCUGGUCCUAAUACCUUUUUUGCCCAAAGUAAGGCAUCAUCUAUACUAUAAUAUCUUUUGAAUGUUAAAUCUUGUCCUUUUCUUUUUGCAUCUAAUUUUUCAAUCAUAAUAUUUUCCCAUUCCAAAUAUAUGCCAGGUUUAUUUCCAUCAAAUAUAAGAUAUAGUGUUUCUCCUUUUGGUAUUUCAGUCUUUUCUGGCUUUGGCAAUUUUUUGUUUAGUUCGCUAAAAUAUUCUGCCAAGCUAUUCCGAAUUGAUAACAUAUAUCCCAUUUCCUCUCUUUUGGUGGUAUAUUGGAACCAGAAAUUAUCCCAUAUGCAGCGUUGAACUUCAUCAAGCUUGAUAUGAGCCUUUGGCUUGAAAUUGAAUGUAUUUGGUUGAAUACUUUCAGCAUAUUUUCUUCUCCAAAGAAGAUAUAUUCCUCCUUGGUGUGGAAUAAUCCUUUCCUCAUAUCUGCAAAUUUGAUGCAUGAGAAAAUAUGUCAGGUAAGGUAUUAUCCUUCCCCGUAAUAUGUUCAAAAAUGACUUUAUAACCAUUCCCAGCUAUGGUAUCUUCAAAUAAGACCCAUCUUCUGGUUGAGCUUUUCUUACUAUUAAUUUUAUUGUAAUAUCGACAUAUAGCUUCACAGUCUGUUCGCACUGUAAAUUCUUUAAAUCCUAGAUAUAGCCUAAAUGCAUUUAUUGCAUUUACAACUGCAAGGAUUUCCCUAUCAAUAUUAUUUACCGUUUUUAAUUUCUAACUUCCUGAAGCAUAUCUGCAUAUUUUUUCAUCUGCCUUCGGAGAGUAUUUAUUGGGCUUUUGAUUUAGUAUCGCACCCAAUCCUACCUUAGAUGCAUCUGUCUCAAUUAUAAAAUAAUUGUCUUCUAGAGGCAAUUCUAGGGGUUUUAAAUUCUUGACUUUUUCUUUGAUGGCCUUUACUAAUUUUAUAUCUUCAGAAUUGAAGUAUCUUUGACCAUUUUUUCUUAAUUUAGAAUAUAAAGGUCCGGUAGCUUUGCUAAGUUAUCUAUGAAUUGUUGUAAAACAUUUUUAUCACUCAUAUUAUCAGGAAACUCUAAUAUUUUCUUUGCAAUAUGAUCUUGUAGAUAUAUCUUUCCUUCUCCUAUUUCAUGACCAAGGACAUUUAUUUUCUCUUUGCAAAUUUCCAUCUUCUUUUUAGAUAUUAUGAGCCCAUUUUGUUCUACCUUUCGAAAGAACACUUCAAGAUGGGCUAUAUGCUCUUUGUAUGAUUUUGAGAAUACUAACAAAUCAUCUACGUAUACCAAUAUAAAUGCUUGAUUCCCAUUAAAUAUAUUUUGCAUUUUUCUUUGAAAUAAUGCAUGCGCAUUCUUUAGACCUAAUGGCAUUACUUGCCAUUCAUAAUGGCCUUGUGGACAAGUAAAUGUUGUCCAGGGAAUAGAUUCUUCAGCCAUUUUUACUUCCAAAAUCCUGCCUUUAAGUCGAAUUUAGAGAAAUAUUUACUUGUAUUCUGUUAAUCCAUUCCUGCUUAUUAGGUAUGUUGUAUGCAUCGUCAACUGUAUUAUCAUUAAGCCUUUUAAAAUUAAUUACCAUUCUAGAUUUACCUCUAACUUCUUCAGCAUGAUUUCUAACUAUGAAUGCAGCAGACCGAUGAGGGCUUCUGCUUUCUCUUAUAGCCUUUAACUUUAAUAACUCUUCAAUAUGCAUUUUGAACUCUUCAAUAUCUUUUGGAGUAGCUUCUAUUGGUCCUGACUUAAAUAUAUAAUCUGGAUUUAUGAUAUUUAUUUUGCAAACUAUAGAUUUCUUAUCCCAAUGUUUCACUGGUAUUUCUCCAAUAAUUUGUAUGCUUUCUAGUCUUUGCAUAAUCUUAUCUAUAUCCUUUUUAGAUUUUAUAUCUCUAUACCAAUUUGGAGAGAAUGAUUGUAACCCAAUGCAUUCUGUACAUGUAUUUUCUAUAUGAUAUUCUUCUAUGGUCUCACUAAUAUCUUCGUCUUUACAGAAUUCAAGGGGAUCUGGACUUGUGCCAUAUUCAACAUCUAAAUUAGAUAUUUCUACAUUUUGUAAGGACUUUCUUUGUUUUCUUACUUCAGAUAUGUAUGGAACAUUAUCUUGAUAAGGGAUAAAUGUUACCCCUUCUUCAUGUAUGAUCGUGGUUUGUAAAGAUUGUUGUAAAAGUCUUAACCCUAUUAUCAUGUCAUCAUUUAUUACUGACAAAUCUCUUAUUGUAAUUUCAUCUAUUAUAUAUUUUGUGCCAUUUAUGUAAGCUUCAAUAUUAUAUGCUAGCUGCUUAUGUAUCUUCUUUAUUCCUGACAUAUCGGUACAUACUUCAGCUUUAUUAUCAUCUAUAGUUUCAACUAUUUCGGGACAUCUCAUAAAAUAUUUAUCAUGGAUGAUGUUCUUAGUGCAACCAGUAUCUAAUAGUGCCAAUAUUUUAUAUGAAAUAUUUGGCUUAAGAACAAUCCUAACUGGAAUCCUUAUUCCUAACACUUCUUUGAAUGGUAAUCGAACAAUAUAUUUAUUCGCAAAACUAGUAAUUGCGUCUUUCAAUUGUAUUAGUUUGUCUCCUUUUUUAUCCCUUACUGUUACCAUUUGCUCCUUCAUUUCCGUGAUUUCAGCAACAUUAUUGUCUUGCCUAUUACUAUUUUCUAACUCAUCUUUAAGUUUUUCUAGUUCUGCUUCUAGCUUAUUUAUUCUAUUUUCUAAAUUUCUAACCCUACUGGAUAAUAUUCGUUCUUCUGGUUCUAAUUCUAUUUCUUGUCUCCACUUUUGAUUAUUGGCUCUUAGACAUGAGGCACAUGCUUGUUUUAAACACAAGCUACAUGUAAACCUAUUAUCUUGGCUUGGGUAAUAUAUACAGAAAGCACAUUUUAUGUUAUAAUCACCUUUUCCUCUAAUCCAAUCAUGUUCACAAUCUACUUGGUUCAUCAUUUCAAUUUUUAAAACGGCUAAUUCAUCUAUUAGGUCUAUUUCAUCUUCACUUGAUUCAUAUUUUGGAGCCUCAUUUUCUACUUCAUCUGUCUCUAUAAUUGAAUAUAUUGACUCAUCGUCUUUUAUUUCAUCAUCACAUAAUAAUAUAUUCUCAUUAACGCUAUCUAUAAUUAAUACUCUCUCUUGUUCUUCAUAUUUGCUAGAGUAUCUUUUCUGGUCUUUAUUAGGACAAGUUCUACUUAAGUGAUCAGGAGAGUUACAUAUGAAACACCUGCAUGUUUUAUCAUAGGUUUUCUUAGGAUUAUAUCUUCUUACAUUUCUUUUAUGUAAGAAUGGGGCUCUAUUGUCUGACCUUCUUAAGAAAUAUCUUUUCUUUGUUCUAAAAUUUCUAUUAUCUCUCCUUUGUGGUUUAUAAUAUUUGUUUUUCCUAUGCCUUUCUUCUCCAUAUGUUAGUGGUAUUUGGACAAUGUUAUUGCAAAAAUUGUAAUCUGAUUUCUUCAUAGUUCUUUGGGCUUGAAUGCUAGUACAUACCUUUCUUAGCUGUUUGAAAACAAAUGUUAUGGCUUGGGAUAUAUUUACCACAUUUCCUCCUGUUUCUUUUUUAUACUCCUCAAAUAUUAUGGAACCUAGAGGAUCGGGCAACUUAUUAAAAUAUCUUUCUACUACACCUACAUUAAAACCUUGUUUAGCAGUAGUAGCAUUAUACAAAUAAUGCUGAGAGAAUUCUUUUAUACCUUUCCAGCUAGUUAAUGUUAAAUUUUCUAUUUCUCUUAACCUCUCAUUUUGUAAUGAGGUAUGUCCUCAUUCUGGAUCUUCUGCUAUGAUCAUAUUUGAGAUAACAUUCGCAAAGUUAUUAGGGUUACUUCCUGCCCUUUUUAAUUCUUCAUAUUGACUAGGGUAUGACUCUACCCAUUGUUCCCAUAGAAAUUUUACAGAUUCUCCUAAAAAUGUUUCAAGAUAUGUUAAAAUAUCUUCUACCUUAGUGCCUAUAUUAUACUGAUUUUGUAUAUAUUUUUGUACUGUUAAACCUUUCCAUAUGCUGAUUAUAUUCGGCCAAUCUAUUGGAUCAUGAGCUGCUAGGUUUAAUAUAGCGCCAUCAUUCUUAUAAUUCUGAAAUUGCACUGGUUUUUCAAAAUCUCUUCUUUUAGUACCCAUAUAUCUAUAUUGUCCUGGGCUAGAUGUAGGUUGAUAAUCAUCUUUUUCUGGAGGCCAUUGUCCAGCUGAUCUGGUAGGUCUCUCUCUUUCUCCUUCUCUUUUUACAGAUGAUUCUCCAUAUCCCCUUCUUCUUUUCCCACUAUUUUCUACUUCCAUGGCUUCCAUUGCAUUGUCUAAAUUAUGCAGUCCCACAUCAUCUAGUGAGUUAUAGAAAUCACUAUUUUGUUCUUAAUCAUCAUAUCUUUCAUCUUCUAACCACAUUUCUUUUAUUAAUUCUUCCUCCUCCUCAUAACUUUCUAAUAAUAACUUAUUAUUGAUCAGACUAAGGCAUAGCCUAGUGGUGGGGAGGCGUUGAUGCCUUCCCACCCACCCAGGUUCAAGGCAUGGUACUUGCAAUUUGGGUUUGUUGCACCAAUUAUACUGUAGGGGGUUCCCUAACAGUCUUUCUAUCAAAAAAAACUUAUUAUUGAUAUCCCAUUGCUCUUCUUCACUAACAACUUCUUAUUUUUGAACAAUAUUCUUAUGUUUAUUAUUAUUAUUAUUAAUGAUAGCAUUUUUAUUAAUAAUAGCCUUUGUUUUUCUUUCUGCAGAUUCUAUAAUUUUAUCUUCCAUGGUUGAACUACUAGUGACAAACUUUUUAUCAUUUUUUAGUUUCUUUAACCUUGCAAUUUCUCUAAUGAUAAAUAGUUCUCUUUCUCUAAUUUUAGGCGAAUCCUUUGUCAUAGAAUGACUAUAUUCCCAUUCAAUAUGUUUUAGCUUCUUUUCCCAAUGAAUUAUUUCAUCUUCUAAAUCAGCCUUUUCCAUGCAUUCAGAUAUACCUUUAUUUUUAUCAUCAUUAAUUUCGGGUUCUGAUAUAAAAGAUUCAGAGUCUUCUACUGAUGCAGCUUUAUAGUUCAUAAAUCGAAUACUGCUACUUCCUUCACAAUUUUGAUAGCUUAUGUAGUUUUCAGGUUGCUUUAACUCUUUUUUCUCUAUUAAUUCACCUAUCUUCCAUUCUUCUCCAGCUCUUUCUUCAGAACCAAUAUUAAGAGGAUUCAUAAACUUUAUACCUUUUGAUUGCAUACUAUCAAUUACGUCAUUCACAUUUACUCUAUAUCUGGAGCUACUUCUAUUAGUGAGCCUUCCUAUAAAUUCUAUACUUACUAACAAAUUUGUUCCUUUAAAAUCUUCAUAACCUUUAGUUUCGAAACCAAAACUCAUUUUUUCAAUAAAUUCUUUUACGGGCAUCAUUAGGUCUGGAGCUAUAUAAGCUAUUAAUCUAUUUUCAUUCAUGUCUCCUUCCAAAAAUCCUAAUGCUGCCGUUUCUACAGAUUCCCAUCUUCUGUCUAAUAAAGUUAUCAAAACCUUCGCACCUAAUUUCUUCCUUGUCCUACCUUUGACUCCUAUGAUAUACAUGCCUUGAUGAAUAUAUUUGUAACCAUAAUAUUUUAAUUCAUUUUCAAUAUUUUUUCUUAAAAUUCUUAAAUCUACUGGAUGUGUUAACACACUUAAUUCUACUUCUCGAGAUAUUCUGUAUAGACCACUCUUACAUUCAAACAUACCCAUAUGAUAUACUUGUUGCGGCUUUAUUUUUCUUAGGGUAUCUUUUUGAUAUCUAUCUAGAUCUCUUUGUAUAUCUAUAACUUCUUCAAUACUAUCAAUAUCAUCAGCUUUGCAUGAUAAUCUAUGCUUCAUGGCUAGAGGUCUUGAAUCUUGCCUUACUAAUUAGAGAGUUUUGUCUCUUCUAAGGAAGCCUUUAGAUACGUCCAUUUUUCUGAAUUAAUAUUUCUAGUAGAGGAUACUAUUCCAGAUGAUGAUAGCACAACUUCUUUGUUGCUUUGAACACUUUUUAGCUUAUCUAAUACUUGAAUUAAUAGUUAGAUGAUUGUGUUAUUUUGUCUUAUUAUUACUUUGGAAUCUUCUUUUGGGGAGUCGUGAUCGGAUAACCUGACAGGAGGUGACAGGUAUUUUGCUACUUCGUUUGAUGCUUGAGUAUAUACUUAGUCACAUAAUUAUGAGAUAAUCAAAGUUUUAACCUCUUGCACCAACUUUUUUAUUUCAAGUAUAUCUUGUCUUGAUUCAGUGCGUGGGAGUGACUCUUUGCCUUUACUUAGGUAGCGGCCUAUUGAUAGCACUUCCUCUUUAAUAUAAUCAUUAUUCUUGCAAACUGUAUUCUGUCUUGCUUUUGCUUCCUCUAGCUUAUGUAAAGCUAGAUCAAUUUUAUUAUUGAACCCUGAAUACUUAUCAGCAAGCUUUUGGUAUUCUUUGAAUAAACUUUCAAAUUUUUGGUCUAAAUUAUCUUGUCUUUUUCCCCAAGAUAUGUAAAAAUUAUAUAUCAAAUCGACGACUGUAUUUAACUGGCUAUGAGAUGUAUGCCAAAUAUGCUCUUCAGAGGGAUUUACUCUACACCUUAUAUUUAGAUUUUCCUUGGUAUUUAUUACUUUACCUGCGCUAACUUCUAAGUUUAAAUAUUUUAACCUUUCAAUGAUUAAACACUGGACCUGAUACCAACAAUAUAGGGAAUAUUAAAUUAAAUGACUUUAUUUAGCUUAAUAUGAGAUUAGAUUUUGAUUAGGUUAAUAUUGGAUUAGGUGAAAGUGUUAGACAGGUAUGCUUUUUAUCUUGAAUAGUAUUUAUUGUUCACUAGGUAGGGCACUAUUCACAAUACUAUUUACUAUUUAGUACACUAUUUGGAAUAGUGCUUCACUAUUCAUAGUAAUAUUUAAUACAAUAUAAUUACCUUCACGUUCUAACUUGAUUAUUUAUUUGAUACAUGAUCUAUUCUGGGAUGGCGAGGCCAACAAUUCGUCCGACGGUGUGCGCAGAGGUGUAAAAUCCUACUGAGUACUCACCAUAUUUAUCAUUAUGUUGUAUCAGAUGUAGCUAGUUACGUGCACUUAGCAGUUUUAAUUGCAAAUUUAUGGGGUAAAUUCCUAUCGUCUUCCCAGGCAGUUCCACCCGAAGGGAACACUUUUCUACGGCCACAAGGUUCUCAUUCAAACGCCACUCUGGGCUACACAGAGAACUACACACGCAGAGGUUUCUCCUAUAGGAUCCCUAGCAUAAGAACUCGUCCCAUAAAUUCAUAAAUAAAAAUACUAAGUGAGACCAAGAAACUACAUCAUUUCCACAACAUAAUUUACAUAAGGUUUUCCAUUUCGGGAGGCCCCGAAUGGAUUACACACAACUAGGAAAUUACCUUCAAACUCUUAGCGAUCGAAGCGCCUUCUUGGCUAUUCUACUAGCAGUGGUGGUGGCUAAAUUAUGAAGGAAACGGUGCUCUGGUGGAGAGUUUUGAUGCUCUAAGUGCUUCGUGCUCUCCCGUCUUGUGUUCUCUUCUUGAGCCCAGCGUCUCCUUUUAUAGCCGCGAGGGCUGGCUGCAAGGGAGGCCUUCGGGAGCCUUCCUUCACUUAUUUUACGCACGGUAGUAUGCACGCGUGUCCUACUAGGGUACAUGCAUGUCCUUCUAAUAAUAUAGAAAAGUGCAAGAGAGAUUGCCGACAAACUUCAAUCUUCAGGAAUCUUUGCUUUCUUCACGUGGCAUUGUCUCUCGAUGAAUAAUUGACUGGCCUUUGUGUCCCAGUCUUUGUUCUUCGGCCAUACAGAUCUUCAUGCGAUUAGCCUUCAGAGCUUCUUCUGCCUUCAACAAUCCUUGUGCCAGUGUAUGCGUACAUACAUGCCAAGGCUGCUUAAAUAUUCAACAUUGCUUCAUUUAUUUUUAAUUUAACUUGCUUAAAUAUUCAACAUUACUUAUUCAUUUUUUUUUCAAUUUUUUUCAGGGGGACUUCCCUGCCUAUAUGAUUGAUAAUACCUUAUCAAUAUUUAAAAUAUCUAUUUUUGGAAUUUCUAUCAAUAUUCGGGUCGGGUAUAGGGAAUAUAUAUAUAUAUAUAUAUAUAUAUAUAUAUAUAUAGUGUUACUAUUCAUCAUCCAGGGUGCAGAAUAAGUUAUUCUUCACCCGAGGUAAUCUUACGAUCAUAUCAUAAUUAAAUUACGUUUGGAAUCAAAUAGUUACAUUCAUAUUGAUUCACUACGUAAAAUUUGGCAUAAAAAAUAAAAAUAUAGGUCAUAAGGCAAGAAAAUUUGCAGUUUAUGUGUAUUUUACACUAUGUUUUUACGUUUGUAAUUUCACAUAACAUGAAAUGUNNNNNNNNNNNNNNNNNNNNNNNNNNNNNNNNNNNNNNNNNNNNNNNNNNNNNNNNNNNNNNNNNNNNNNNNNNNNNNNNNNNNNNNNNNNNNNNNNNNNNNNNNNNNNNNNNNNNNNNNNNNNNNNNNNNNNNNNNNNNNNNNNNNNNNNNNNNNNNNNNNNNNNNNNNNNNNNNNNNNNNNNNNNNNNNNNNNNNNNNNNNNNNNNNNNNNNNNNNNNNNNNNNNNNNNNNNNNNNNNNNNNNNNNNNNNNNNNNNNNNNNNNNNNNNNNNNNNNNNNNNNNNNNNNNNNNNNNNNNNNNNNNNNNNNNNNNNNNNNNNNNNNNNNNNNNNNNNNNNNNNNNNNNNNNNNNNNNNNNNNNNNNNNNNNNNNNNNNNNNNNNNNNNNNNNNNNNNNNNNNNNNNNNNNNNNNNNNNNNNNNNNNNNNNNNNNNNNNNNNNNNNNNNNNNNNNNNNNNNNNNNNNNNNNNNNNNNNNNNNNNNNNNNNNNNNNNNNNNNNNNNNNNNNNNNNNNNNNNNNNNNNNNNNNNNNNNNNNNNNNNNNNNNNNNNNNNNNNNNNNNNNNNNNNNNNNNNNNNNNNNNNNNNNNNNNNNNNNNNNNNNNGAUGGUAAAAUAGAGGGGGUGAAGAAUAACUAUUCCUCACACAGUAUAUAUAUAUAUAGGGAUUGACUAUUCGUCAUCCUGUGUGAGGAAUAGUUAUUCUUCACCCCCUCUAUUUUACCAUCAAUGCACCGUAAUUUUACGUUCCGUAAAAUUUGUCUUAUUUCCGACAUAAAAAGAGACCGUAAUAAUAUAUAUAAUCGUCGUAAAAAAUAUUUCAUGUUAUGUGAAAUUACAAACGUAAAAAUAUAUAUAUAUAUAUAUGGACUGUGAUAACUGGCAACCGUGUGCCAGAUUGCCAAAACCACCAUACCCCCUCGUGCCGCACGAAACCCAUCCCUUCUCCCGAUUUUCUGGGCCAUCCCGAUCCCCCGCACGAACCCCUCCCUUCUCCCCAUUUUCUAGGCCACCCAGGCCCAUCCCGAUGGUGCGCUUGCAGUUUGAAAAAAAGCGAAAAAAAUGCAAUGGAGGGGAAUCGAACCCACAACCUACCACAACAUAUUUAGCAACAACAACCAACGGGGCUAUGCCACAUUAUUGAUUUCUUUCAACUUACACACUACUUAUACCUUCCUGACACUACUAGGAAAAGGGCUAUAGAGAAUAUGCACACUAAUGGCGCACCAGACAUGCGGUGCGCCACGACUAUAUAGCAGUGGCGCACCGUGUGCUGGUGCGCCAUUAAUGUGAUAGACAGUAAUGGCGCACCACAACUAUGGUGCGCCACUACUAACAAUUUUUUUUCUUUUUUCCAAAAAUACUAAUGGCGCACGGUGUGCUGGUGCGCCAUUAGUGUCUAUCACACGAAUGGCGCACCACAACCAUGGUGCGCCACUACUAACAAUUUUUUUCUUUUUUCCAAAAAUACUAAUGGCGCACCGGGGCGCAGUGCGCCAUUACUAGUUUUAACUAGUAAUGGCGCACCAGUCACCCCAUGCGCCACUACUAUCAUUUUUUGUUUUUUGUUUUUUUGCAAAACUACUAAUGGCGCACCGCCAGCUGGUUGGCCAUUAGUAACUAGGGUUACUAAUGGCGCAUUUGUUGGUGGUGCGCCAUUAGUAACCUGGGACCAGCUAGAUAUUUUGGACAGCCACCUACGCACUCACUUUCCCCACUUCAUUCUCUCCACCUCCUCCUCCAAGCUUGUCUCGGGUGCCUCCUCCUCCUCACCUCAUUUGCACCAUAGAUUCAUCCAAAUUAAGUGGUUAAAUUACCUUUUUUUGAUAGGUAAGUAAGGGGAAAGCUUUCUUUAUGUUGUAGAUCUACUUUUUUUUCCCUCCAACAACGUGCACAUGCACUUUUUAUGGCCUAGCUAGAUCUAUGUAUGUUUGUGGUGUUGCAUAUGUUUGUGGUGUUGCAUAUAUGUUUGUGUUUGCAGGUACUGGUAUUUGAAAUGCGAUAGUUGCCAAUAUUUUGCCGGAAUGUUGAUUCAUUUCCGUUUCGGCGAGAAUUCUGGCACUAUGCAUUCUUUUUGGUCAUAUUUUUAGGCAAAGUCAUGCCAAAUUUUUUCUUGGUUCUAAAAUAUCGUUUUGCUCUACCCCGCAGGCGACCAUGGUUCGCACGAUGACCGAAGGCAUCGUGAAUAGGGUUUUGAGCUCCGCGAAGGCCGAGAUGCUUCAAAAUAACGAGACGGAGAUAAGAUGUCCGUGUCGAAGAUGCAAGCUGAGGAGCCUUAUGGACCCGGAUUCCGUACAGGUGCGGGACCACAUGCUCUUACGUGGUUUCAUGGAUGGCUAUCGGUGGCAAGGUGAUGAAGAUGAUUAUGAAGUCGUCCAUGGGGGCCGGCCGACAAGAAAUGAGGAAGGGCAGCAAGACAACCGCGGCAAGGGUGGGCGAGAAGACGAAGAAUCUCCAGGACAUGAUGACGAAGUAGAUAGAAGAUGCCGGACAUGAUGAUGAGGAAGAUGCCAGAGCAGACGAAGGGCAUGAUCAUGAAGAUGAAGAUGCUGGAGCAGACGACGAUGGACCAUCGAUGGGCUGGGUGCAGGACCCUCAUAUUCAAGAGCUGCUUCUCAAGCAGACGGAUAACGCAAGAGCUGCCGCCCGAGAGAAAGCCAAGCUGGAUCAACUGGAGAUAGACGCGGUUACUCCAUUGUAUGUAGGAUGCAGGCCCGAGGAUACCCGCCUGAAAGUAACGCUCAUGGCUCUGGAGAUGAAGGUAAAACCCAAAAUGACCGACGCAUGCUUCGACGAGAACAUGUCAUUCUGGCACGAACGUCUUCCCAAGGGGAACAAGUGCCCGACCAGUUUCAAGGAGGCGAAGAAAAUCAUGUGUCCUCUGGAUUUACCGCACGUGAAAUACGAUGUGUGCAUGAACAAUUGCAUAUCGGGACGAGCACGCGGAGUCUACCAUAUGUCCGGUGUGCGGCGUCACUCGAUACAAGAAGAGGAAGAAAGCUCCUCGAAAAGUGGUGUGGUACUUUCCGAUCACUCCUCGUCUGCAGCGGUAUUUCGUGGACCCUAAGGUAGCAAAGCUCUUGCGUUGGCACGCGGAUAGGGAGGAGAAGAAGCGAGAAGAUCACGCAAAUGAUCCGGAGAUAAAUAAAAAAGACAAGAUGCUGAGUCACCCUAAGGAUGGGAGCCAGUGGCAAGCGUUGAACUUCGAACACCCAGAAUUUGGGAACGAUCCAAGGAACAUCGUGCUGGGCGCGAGCACCGAUGGAGUCAAUCCGUUUGGCAGCCAGAGAAGCACACAGAGCACCUGGCCUGUGUUUGUGUGGAUGUACAACCUUCCCCCCUGGUUGUGCAUGAAGAGGAAGUACAUUCACAUGAGUAUGCUAAUUGAAGGGCCGAAACAACCAGGGAACGACAUCAAUCUGUAUCUGGGGCUGCUGAAAGAGGAGCUAGACACGCUGUGGAAAACGGCAGCCAAUACGUGGGACGCCGCAGAGAAAGAAUAUUUCCCUAUGGGAGCCGCACUGCUCACGACAGUGCACGACUAUCUCGGUUACGGAUAUCUCGUGGGGCAGGUGGUCCACGGAUUUUCUGGAUGCGUCAGGUGCAUGGAUGACACAACGUAUCGCCAGCUAGAUAGAGAUCCCGGGUCUCCGAAAACCGUGUUCAUGGGAGAUCGAAGGUGGCUUCGCGACGAUGACCCAUGGGGAAAACGCAAUGAUCUGUUCGAUGGUGAAACCGAACCCCGAAGACGCCCACGUACGAGGAGCAGCGAGGAAAUAGACAAGCUGUUGAAAAAUUGGAAAGAUUGCCCACUGCCGGGAAAGAAGCAAAAGGUGCUAGAGCCGGGAAAGAAGCGAAAGGCGCAAGAGCCGCUGCUGAAGGUAUGGAAAACGAGUUCUGUUUUCUAGGACUUGGCGUACUGGAAGAUCCACCGUGUGCCUCACAGCCUUGAUGUCAUGCAUAUCACGAAGAACGUGUGCGAGAGUCUGCUCGGUACCCUGCUCAACAUGCCGGAGAGGACCAAAGAUGGGCCGAAAGCAAGGGCAAACUUGAAAUCAAUGGGCAUCAGGGAGGAGCUUCACGCUAAUGAUGAUGACGAUGAGGCGAAGCAGGACACGGAAAGUCGUCGCAAAGGCAAAAAGGCCAAGAAGACCGGAAAUGACUUCCCUCCCGCGUGCUUCACUCUAAGUCAGGAGGAGAUCGAUUAGUUUUUCACCUGCCUCGUAGGAGUAAAACUUCCUUACGGUUACGCAGGGAAGAUAAGCAGAUACCUAGACUCAGUGAAGCAGAAGUUCAGCGGGAUGAAGUCUCACGACUGUCACGUGCUGAUGACGCAGAUACUUCCAGUUGCAAUCCGUGGGGUCAUGGACGCGCACGUCCGUGAAACACUAUUUGGCCUAUGCAAAUUUUUUGACGUCAUCUCUCAGAAGUCGGUUGGCGUGAGGCAACUCAGAAGGCUACAGGAAGAGAUCGUGGUGAUACUAUGCGAGCUUGAGAUGUACUUCCCGCCCGCAUUCUUCGACGUUAUGGUGCAUCUGCUGGUCCAUAUCGUGGAGGAUAUCAUCCAACUCGGGCCAACGUUCCUGCACAGCAUGAUGCCGUUCGAAAGGAUGAAUGGUGUCAUCAAAGGAUACGUUCGCAACAUGUCACGUCCAGAGGGAAGCAUAGCCAGGGGCUUUCUGACCGAAGAGUGCAUCUCCUACUGCACGAAUUAUCUAGGCAUCGAGAACCCCGUUGGUCUGCCCGCCAACAGGCACCUCGGCAGGCUCGCUGGAUGGGGUCACCAUGAGGGUCGCCGUGAAAUGCAUGUCGACUUCGAGGGUCGACUCGCCGACUUUCAAAGAGCAAACCUAGUCACGCUACAACACAUAGACGUGGUCGAUCCUUGGGUGGUAGAGCACAAAACCUUUAUUGAGAAGACGUACAAUGACCAAGGCCAACAGAGGACGGACGGAGAUAUAAUCAAAGAGCACAACUCAUGUUUCGCGCGUUGGUUCAAGCAGAAGCUUCUGACGUACCCUUUACAUGAGGAUUCUUCCGCGGAAGAACAACUCAUAUUCGCCUUGUCACAGGGCGCCGAGCACAACCUGAUGACGUAUGAGGCGUACGAUAUCAACGGCUACACAUUCUACAUCGAGGGAAAGGACAUGAAGAGCGAUGGUUAUCAGAACUCCGGGGUAACGAUGGAAUCCUACACCGGUAAGGACAAGGACAGAUACUACGGAAGGAUCGAGGAGAUCUGGGAGCUGAGCUACGGUGGAGAGAAGGUCCCGAUGUUCCGUGUCAGAUGGGCCAAGAGCGUCCUAAAAGAAGACCAGUAUUUCACCACCAUGGUUAUACCCAAAGCCAAAUCCAAGACCGCGGGCGCAAACGUCACCGCGAAAAAUGAGCCAUGGGUACUGGCUUCACAAGUAGACCAAUGCUUCUUCAUUACCGACCCGUCAAAGCCCAGUCAUGUUGUCGUGAGGAGAGGCAAAAGGAAGAUCAUCGGAAUGGAUGGAGUCGCCAAUGAGCAAGACUUCGAGAAGUACGGCGACCCGAAGAUGGAACAUGACGACGACGAUGAAGUACCAGCAUACACCACAAGAAGAAGCAGGACCACCCUACCUAAAGGACGUUCGUUCAAGAGAAGAACUCCAUUUACGAAAAAUAAGGGCAAGAAGAUUGUGAACAGAUAGCUAGCUAAGAUCGAUUGUAUUUAAAUUGUAGCCUUCAUUUCUCGAUUGUAUUUCGACAUAUUGAAAUGAUAUUUCUUCUGUUCUAGUGUCCUCAUGAAUAUUUAUUUAUGUUUAUUAUGGUAUUGAAUUUCUAACUCACAAAAAGUAUUGAAUUUGUUAAUAUUUUUUGAACUCAUGAAUAUUUUUAAAUUUCAUGGGCACUUUUUGAAUUCAUGAAUAUUUUUUCAAAUUUGAUGAUAUUUUUUCAUAUUCAAUAUGAAAAAAUAUUGAAUAUUCAUGAGGACACUCNNNNNNNNNNNNNNNNNNNNNNNNNNNNNNNNNNNNNNNNNNNNNNNNNNNNNNNNNNNNNNNNNNNNNNNNNNNNNNNNNNNNNNNNNNNNNNNNNNNNNNNNNNNNNNNNNNNNNNNNNNNNNNNNNNNNNNNNNNNNNNNNNNNNNNNNNNNNNNNNNNNNNNNNNNNNNNNNNNNNNNNNNNNNNNNUCGGUUCCCCCUCCCUCCCCCCGAGUGCCAUUGCUAUACAAAAAAAAGAUUACUAAUGGCGCACCUCAUUGGGGUGCGCCAUUGCUAUUCAAAAAAAGAUUACUAAUGGCGCACCUCUCUAGGAUGCGCCAUUGCUAUACAAAAAAAGAUUUCUAAUGGUGCACCGGGUGUGGAUGCGCCAUUGCUAUCAAAAAAAUUCUAAUGGCGCACCGCUCGGGGGUGCGCCAUUGCUAACCCUUCCUCCCCACUAAAAAAAUUCUAAUAACCCGUCCUCAAGUCCCUCCUCUGCGCGGUGAGUGCCCGCCAUGUGCUCGACGCUUUGCCUUGCUGGGCGUUUCAUCAGUUAUUUUAUUAUAUAGUGUUGGUUAUACCAUCUCCUGGCUGUACUACUCAAAGUAUGCAUGCACAUCAUGACAACAAUUGUUGGCAAUUCAGUCGCCUGGUUCAGACGAAUCCACAUGUGUAGAGUACAAUAGUGGUAGCUGACUGACCUGUGGCUGGUGAAGAACAUGUUGCAGGCCCGGCAUGUUACCAGCUUGAUGGUCUACUGCUAGCUGGGCGGUUGGCUGGCUGGCCGUGUGGCAAGCCCUCUGUAGAUAAAUUGUUUGAUUAGGGUACGGUCUUAGUGGACUUGCUAUGCUUAGAGUGGCAGUUUACAGUGCUUGAGGCAGGGUUGGUUGGUAUAAACCAAAUUUGUCCGGGACAGUUUAAUUAGCCAGUAAUAAUGUGCAGUUAUCAUCAUCCCUUCUCUUUUGUUGUGGAUGGAGAAGAGAGAUUCAUGGUACCAUAAAGUUGUCACUUUUUUAUUCAUAUAGAAGACUUCAAGUAUCUUUUUUUAGAGAGAAGUGUUCAAGUAUCUAGUUAAGUUGGUGAGCAACUACACUUUCACAGCCCAAAGGCCCACAACACACCACACCACACAGCCUUGAUGCCUUCUAGUACUGCUAGGGUGCUGAGUCCAACAUAGUGAAAAUGCAAAAAAUCACAAGGAAACUAGAAGUUACUAUUAUGUUUAUCUGUAAACCUAAAAAAACACCAUUAUCCUUUCUGAAACUAACCCACUAGAGAUUAAUAGGAAAAACAGUCUUAACACAGAAUGUGCCGUCUUUUAUGUCAUUGGAGUCAAGCAAUUGAAAAUGGACUAGCUACAAAUUGAAUGUCGGAUUCUUUUUUUACCAUGGCAGAUAUAGUGUUUUUCAUGGCAAUUAUAGGUGUCGCAGGGAUGGCAGAUUUCUUUAGCAUGCAUGGAAAAUCCUUGGCCCGUACUGUAAUCAUGUUGACAACUAUAAUUAACAUGAAGCAUCCACCUUACUAAGCCAUUACUUGUGUGCAUCUCUAGUUUCCUUGCAGGUUGUAAGUUUUUAUUAGGAUAGCUGUAAAUUUCUUCUGUUUUCUAGUAGUACAACCUGUACUGGUUGGGACAAAAACACUGCUUUUGGUGUACCUGUAUUGUUCUUUCUAGCUGUAAAUUUCUUCUUUCUUCACUUUACUGAUGAGUACACAAAGCAAGUGUGAGUGAACUGAAUGAAUUCAGUGUGCACUCUAGUAUAAGUACCAUCUAGUCAAGUCAAGCUUUGGUCAUGAUCCAGCAGAUGAGAUUUUCUCUUCUGGGGAAAAGCAGAUGAGAAUUGAGAAGCAUAUGCCACAUAAUGAUUCAGCAAUAUCUUUAAGGCAAAUCUGGUUGGCAAUUUGGCCCUCCGUGUCCAUCACCAUGGCCACUACUAUUUCAAACUGAAGAAAGAAAGGAAGAGAUGAUUUUGCAGGUACCCCGAGAGGCCCUUGAGUUUGCCGGAAUGUUGAUUAACUUCCGUUCCGGCAAAUUUGGGUACUCCAUAUGUCCUAUUUUCAGCAAAGGUCAUGCUGAAAUUUUCCGUGAAUUUUAGCAUGACUUUGCUAAAAAUAGGACAUAUGGGGUACUUGCAACUAAUGCAUGGGCCGGGGUAUCUUAGUACUUAAUUAAUUAGUUAGUGUAGGUGUAUAUAUACACAUGAAUCCACCUACAUCCUGGCAAUCCAUUUAAUCAGAGGAAGACGACGAAGAAGAAGAGGAGGAGGAGGAGGAGGAGGUGAGGUUGGUUAGGCAAGAGUCAAACCCUAAAUGAUAAAACCUUGGCUUUUAGGGUGCCUUGGUGUCGAUAAAAACCUAAAUGAUCAAUUUUCAGCCCUUGGAUUAGUUUAGUAUUUUUUCACACACUCAGACACCCUUGCUUACCAUGUGUGUGAGAGAGAUAGUGAGAGGAGACAAGAAGAAGGGGGUUAGGAAGGGACUUGGACCUUAGCAACAACACACUAACAGCAAAUUCCUCGAGAAUUAGGUUAUUUGGUCAACUUAGAGACCUUGUUCCUUGACAAUAACCAACUUUUUGACCAAUUUGUUUCCUAUUUAGAGCAAAACAUGGCCCACAACGAUGAGGCCGGCAGUUCGGGCGGCAAGGCAUUAUGGGAGCUGUCCCAGGAGAUGGAGGAAGAACCUCACCGCUAUGAGGAUGCCGCAGAAGACACCGAUCCUGACUACACAACCCCUAGUGGCGUCGGGGAUGACACCACUGAUGGUGCCGCCGAGGAUGCCACCACUGAUGAUGGCAGCGCAUGCACAGAUGGCAGCCAACCGAAGAGGCAACGGAAGGACCGGCGCCCGAACGUGCUCGGCACCGUCAAGGAGGAAUUUACUAAAGUGAACUGCGACGGGGAUCCAACGGCGCCCAAAGAAUUAGUCAAGGGGUACUCGGUUCAGCUCGGGUGCAUUCUCCGGAGCACCGUCUCGAUCAACACCGAGAACCUAAGGCAUAAGGACCGAGGGAAUUUGCGCAACCUCCUCUUCACGAAGCUGCACGAACGAUACAAGUUCCCCGCUGAGUUUGCAAACACACGCCUCUCAGGGAAUAAAGUGAACAGUGCCGCCCUCACGAAGAUGAGGACGGCCAUGUGUAUCACUGCGAUCGAGAUUCAUUUUAGGUGCAAGUCCAUUGAAGGUAUUAUUCAAAUAAACAGAGUAACCAUUAUUCUCCUGAAAUGAAUAACCAUAUUGCGACAAACAGAAUCCAAUCAUGUUUAUGCUCAACGCAAACACCAACUAACAAUUAUUUAGGUUUAACACCAAUCUCGAUGGUAGAGGGAGCAUGCGAUGCUUGAUCAUAUCAACCUUGGAAACACUUCCAACAUAUAUCGUCAUCUCACCUUUAGCUAGUCUCCGUUUAUUCCGCAGCUUUUAUUUCGAGUUACUAACACUUAGCAACCGAACCGGUAUCUAAUACCCUGGUGCUGCUAGGAGUACUAGUAAAGUACACAUUCAUGUAAUGUAUAUCCAAUAUACUUCUGUCGACCUUGCCUGCCUUCUCAUCUACCAAGUAUCGAGGGUAGUUUGCUUCAGUGACCGUUCCCCUCAUUACAGAAGCACUUAGUCUCGGGUUUGGGUUUAACCUUGGGAUUCCUCACUAGAGCAACAAAUGAUUUGCUGUUUCAUGAAGUAUCCCUUUUGCCCUUGCCCUUCUUGAAACUAGUGGUUUUACUAACCAUCAACAAUUGAUGCUCCUAUUUGAUUUUUACUUUCGCGGUGUCAAACAUCGCGAAUAGCUCAAGGAUCAUCAUAUCUAUCCCUGAUACGUUAUAGUUCAUCACGAAGCUCUAAUAGCUUGGUGGCAGUGACUAUGGAGAACCAUCACUAUCUCAUCUGGAAGAUUAACUCCCACUCGAUUCAAGCGAUUGUGGCACUCAGACAAUCUGAGCACAUGUUCAACGAUUGAGCUUUUCUCCCUUAGUCUGCAGGCUUAAGAAACUUGUCAGAGGUCUCAUACCUCUUGACGUGGGCACUAGUCUGAAAUCCCAAUUUCAGUCUUCGGAACAUCUCAUAUGUUCUGCGACGUUUCAAAACGUCUUUGGGGCCACAAUUCUAAACCGUUAGCAUUACGCAGUGAACUAUCACGUAGUCAUCAAAACGUGUAUGUCAGAUGUUUUGAAACAUCUACAGACGAUGCUGAGGUUCAGCACACCGAGCGGUGCAUUAAGGACAUAAGCCUUCUGUGCAGCAAUGAGGAAAAUCCUCAGUUUUCGGACCCAGUCCGCAUAAUUGCUACUACCAACUUUCAACUAAAUUUUCUCUAGGAACAUAUCUUAAACAGUAGAACUAAAGCGUAAGAUAUGACAUAAUUUGCAAAGACCUUUUGACUAUGUUCAUGAUAAUUAAGUUCAUCUGAUUAAUGAACUACCACUCAGAUAGACAUCCCUCUAGUCAUCUAAGUGAUACAUGAUCCGAGUCAAACUAGGCCGUGUCCGAUCAUCACGUGAGACGGACUAGUCAUCAUCGGUGAACAUCUCCAUGUUGAUCGCAUCUACUAUAUGACUCAUGUUCGACCUUUCGAUCUCUUGUGUUCCGAGGCCAUGCCUGUACAUGCUAGGCUCGUCAAGUCAACCUAAGUGUUUCGCAUGUGUUUCGAGGCCAUGUCUGUACAUGCUAGGCUCGUCAACACCCGUUGUAUUCGAACAUUAGAAUCAAUCACACCCGAUCAUCACGUGGUGCUUCGAAACAACGAACCUUCGCAACGGUGCACAGUUAGGGGGAACACGUCUCUUGAAAUUUUAGUGAGGGAUCAUCUUAUUUAUGCUACCGUCGUUCUAAGCAAAUAAGAUGUAAACAUGAUAAACAUCACAUGCAAAUCAUAAAGUGAGGUGAUAUGGCCAAUAUCAUCUUGAGCAUUUUGAUCUCCAUCUUCGAGGCGCCGCAUGAUCACCUUCGUCACCGGCAUGACACCAUGAUCUCCAUCAUCGUGUCUUCAUGAAGUUGUCUCGCCAACUAUUACUUCUACUACUAUGGCUAACGGUUAGCAAUAAAGUAAAGUAAUUACAUGGCGUUAUUCAUUGACACGCAGGUCAUACAAUAAAUUAAGACAACUCCUAUGGCUCCUGCCGGUUGUCAUACUCAUCGACAUGCAAGUCGUGAUUCCUAUUACAAGAACAUGAUCAAUCUCAUACAUCACAUAUAUCAUUCAUCACAUCCUUUUGGCCAUAUCACAUCACAUAGCAUACCCUGCAAAAACAAGUUAGACGUCCUCUAAUUGUUGUUGCAUGUUUUACGUGGCUGCUAUGGGUUUCUAGCAAGAACGUUUCUUACCUACGCAAAAGCCACAACGUGAUAUGCCAAUUUCUAUUUACCCUUCAUAAGGACCCUUUUCAUCGAAUCCGAUCCGACUAAAGUGGGAGAGACAGACACCCGCUAGCCACCUUAUGCAACUAGUGCAUGUCAGUCGGUGGAACCUGUCUCACGUAAGUGUAUGUGUAAGGUCGGUCCGGGCCGCUUCAUCCCACGAUGCCGCCGAAUCAAGAUAAGACUAGUAACGGCAAGUAAAUUGACAAAAUCGACGCCCACAACUACUUUGUGUUCUACUCGUGCAUAGAAACUACGCAUAGACCUAGCUCAUGAUGCCACUGUAGGGAAUGUAGCAGAAAUUCAAAAUUUUCUACGCAUCACCAAGAUCAAUCUAUGGAGUUUACUAGCAACGAGAGGGAAGGAGUGCAUCUACAUACCCUUGUAGAUCGCGAGCGGAAGCGUUCAAGAGAACGGGGUUGAUGGAGUCGUACUCGUCGUGAUCCAAAUCACCGAUGAUCCUAGCGCCGAACGGACGGCACCUCCGCGUUCAACACACGUACGGAGCAGCGACGUCUCCUCCUUCUUGAUCCAGCAAGGGGGGAGGAGAGGUUGAUGGAGAUCCAGCAGCACGACGGCGUGGUGGUGGAAGUAGAGGGAUUCCAACAGGGCUUCGCCAAGCGCUGCGGGAGGAGGGAGAUGUGUCACGGGAGGGAGAGGGAGGCGCCAGGGCUUAGGUGUUGCUGCCCUCCCUCCCCCCACUAUAUAUAGGGCCAAGGGAGAGGGGGGGCGCAGCCUUGGCCCUUCCUCCAAGGAAGGGUGUGGCCAGGGAGGAGUCCAUCCUCCCCAAGGCACCUCGGAGGUGCCUUCCCCCUUUAGGACUCUCCCUUUCCCUUAUCUCUUGGCGCAUGGGCCUCUUGGGGCUGGUGCCCUUGGUCCAUAUAGGCCAAGGCGCACACCCCUACAGCCCAUGUGGCCCCUCGGGGCUGGUGGACCCCCUUGGUGGACCCCCGGACCCCUUUCGGCACUCCCGGUACAAUACCGAUAAUGCGCGAAACUUUUUCGGCGACCAAAACAAGACUUCCCAUAUAUAAAUCUUUACCUCCGGACCAUUCCAGAACUCCUCGUGACGUCCGGGAUCUCAUCCGGGACUCCGAACAACUUUCGGGUUACCGCAUACUAAUAUCUCUAUAACCCUAGCGUCACCGAACCUUAAGUGUGUAGACCCUACGGGUUCGGGAGACAUGCAGACAUGACCGAGACGACUCUCCGGUCAAUAACCAACAGCGGGAUCUGGAUACCCAUGUUGGCUCCCACAUGCUCCUCGAUGAUCUCAUCGGAUGAACCACGAUGUCGAGGAUUCAAUCAAUCCCGUAUACAAUUCCCUUUGUCAAUCGGUAUGUUACUUGCCCGAGAUUCGAUCGUUGGUAUCCCGAUACCUUGUUCAAUCUCGUUACCGGCAAGUCUCUUUACUCGUUCCGUAACACAUCAUCCCGUGAUCAACUCCUUGGUCACAUUGUGCACAUUAUGAUGAUGUCCUACCGAGUGGGCCUAGAGAUACCUCUCCGUUUACACGGAGUGACAAAUCCCAGUCUCGAUUCGUGCCAACCCAACAGACACUUUCGGAGAUACCUGUAGUGCACCUUUAUAGCCACCCAGUUACGUUGUGACGUUUGGUACACCCAAAGCAUUCCUAUGGUAUCCGGGAGUUGCAUAAUCUCAUGGUCUAAGGAAAUGAUACUUGACAUUAGAAAAGCUCUUAGCAAACGAACUACACGAUCUUGUGCUAGGCUUAGGAUUGGGUCUUGUCCAUCACAUCAUUCUCCUAAUGAAGUGAUCCCGUUAUCAACGACAUCCAAUGUCCAUGGUUAGGAAACCGUAACCAUCUAUUGAUCAACGAGCUAGUCAACUAGAUGCUCACUAGGGACAUGGUGUUGUCUAUGUAUCCACACAUGUAUCUGAGUUUCCUAUCAAUACAAUUCUAGCAUGGAUAAUAAACGAUUAUCAUGAACAAGGAAAUAUAAUAAUAACCAAUUUAUUAUUGCCUCUAGGGCAUAUUUCCAACAGGUACAAGGAGGACCCGGUAACAAAGGAGCUUACCACGGAUCCGAAGACCAAGGCGCUUGAGAAAGUUCUGGUAAGGAAUACACCCCCGCGUAAUUAGCUACAUAUAUGGUUGCAUUCUAGUUAAUGAAGCCAAAUUUCUAAAUGGUUCACAUUCCUUCCGCAGGAGACUGAAAGCAGUAGCGCGGGGUCAUCUCAGAGCUCCCCAGCUUGGGACAGCACUCUAAAUAGGGCGUUGAACAUAAUGAAAAACAAGUAUAAGCUCAGUAAGCCGUCGUCAGCUGGUCGUGUGGCCGGCAAAGGCUUGUCCACAAAAUGGUCGUCAUACUAUAACGCUGGUGGGCGAAAGGAGAAAAAGACCAGCUCGGAAAGCCAGUCGCGCGAGGUUCAAGAACUCAAGGCACAAGUGGCGCGGAUUCCGGAGAUUGUCCAAGAGCAAGUGCAACAACAACUGGGAACGACGCUCACCGCCAUUGUGCCUAGCUUGAUUGAGGGGCUGCAGGCGUGGAGUGCGGGCAGCCAACAGGGGCCGCCCCCGGUUCCCAGCUUCACGGCCAGCAACUCGCACAACGCGCAUGCGGCGCCAUUGGUGUCUCCGGCGGAGGCGGUAUUAGUGUCUCCGGCGCCGGCACGGGCAUUGGAGCUUAAUGCACCCGGGUGUACGCCGGCCGGCACCUCGGCAGCAAGCGGCCCCUCCGUGAGUUGCACGCCCGCCGUUGGCGGUGCCUCGACAUUAGCCGAGCUCGACGCCAUCACGGUAACUAAGCCUCUCGGCCGAUGACUUCAUCUCCUUGCCUUUGACUGGGCAUCCCUGAUGCCCUACAUGUUUUCGCAGGGCGCCACCGACGUCCCAUGCACUCUCCUGCACUUCGUGGGCGGCGAGUUCAUCGAUGUCGCCAAGGGCAGAAUCGUUCAACCGGGCAACCCCGUGUUCCACGGUAAUCCGAUGCCACCCACUGUGUAUAGGGUUGAACUAGUUCGGGUGCUGCCAGGCUGCGACAAGUUGUUACCUCUGAUUCAACCCGCUGGGGCCGACGAAGAUGAUGUGAUGACCCUCAGCGCCUGCGUAAGCUAGCCCCUGCUUGGGCCGAAGAGCCGGAUUCGUUUGGGGGCGGGGGACACCACCCCACAGACAACACCGCCAGUCGUGCCGGCGCCAAGCCAUGGCAAGACCGCUGCAACACUACCGGACAUGCCGGACAUCCCUAUGGCACAGGAUCCAGACAUGCAUAUGGCACAGGAUCCGGACGAAGACGACGACGGUACAUUUACCAAUGUCGAUAAGUACUUUGCCGAACAUGGGUACGGUGACGAAUUCUUCGGGCCUCCUUCUCAAGAACCCAACCAUGAAAAAGACGACCGCGAUCGAGCUGGUACCGCGGAGAAACCCAAUUGCAACAGGCGUCGUCUGGCGUUCAGUUCUCAGGAGACGCCUCCAGCUGCCGCCUUCACCGAGCCUCAGAUAGCCGAGGUGCGGAAUAUUAUCAGCCCCAACACACUCAAGAAGGCGGUCUCUGAGCAGAACGCGAUCCCAUUACAGGAGAUGAUGAAGAAGGGACGGAAACGAAAGAAUAACAAGGGCGGUGCGAGCCAGCCGGCACCGAGUACGAUCCGUGCUCAGGAUGGGCCACCUUCACCUAAGGAUAUCUCGAGGAGGGUGCAUGUGGCGGGUAGGCCGAUGCUACCGACUAAUCUGCUCAAUGCUGCAACCGGUGCUAUGCGGAGUCUGCAUGACAGUGUUCUUUCUUUGGAGAAGUGGCGUCUCUCCAAGAAUGAUGUGGCAUACCCGGUUUUCGUGGCCAAGGUGCCAGAGGGCAAGGGCUUUGUGGAUAGCGCCAUCGGGGGUACGAUCGUCCUGCGGUUUGAUGACAUCUUCGCUAUGUUUAACCUUCAUCCAGUGCACUACACCUUCGUUCGGCUAUUUUCGCUGAGUAUGGAGAUGCGGAUCAUUAGAGACAAGACACCGGACAUCGUGAUAGUCGACCCCUUCUACAUGCGUGCCAAGAUCUUCGGCAGCGCUGGGGACCGGCAAGUCGCGAGUUCAUACCUCGAAGGCGUCAUUCUGGCAAACCCAGAUAAGGAUAACUUCCUCGUGCCUUACUUUCCCGAGUAAGUCAUCCCCUCACCGCCCCGUAACAUAUGAUUUCUUAGAUUUCGAUCGUUCUUUUUUUUUUCUAACAUUCCGUGUUUUGUGCAGUGACACACAUUGCACACUCAUCCUCUUAAGCCCAGUUCGUAGGUACGACAAGCACAUCUUCAGCCACAAUACGACGUUCUCCUGCGUCAAGCAGCGGCCUGGCGGUCAGAAGGAUGCCUACUACGCCCUCCAUCACAUGCGGGCGAUCGUACGGGACCAUAAUCACCUUCUGCUACCAAGUAAUCUCAAAGAUUGGGCCGCACACUUGUCGGCAAUCCAGGACGCGGACAUCAGACAAGAAUUCUUUCGCAUCCAGUCGGAGUUUGCGGAAAUCAUCCAUCAAGAUGUCCUUCGUACCUUGGGGCAGUUCUAUCUGAGACAUCAACCGUCCAACAGUGAGAUAGAAACAACACUACAAAUGCAGGCUGACAACGCUCGCGAUUUCAUGACCAUCACGAAAGACGGCGGCUUCAUCCACGCUCCGGUCCCUGAGUCGAGUCGAAAGUAGUGAUGCUAUGUAGUUCUGAAAUGUCGAUUGGCUCAUGUUGUAAUAUUAAACUUUAAUGAACUUGUAUGUCUCUUUGGUUUGGACAGUCAUUCAACUUAUAUGUAAUCGAUGAUAUUUAUUAGUAGGACCAUGAAUCGUGCUAUUAAUGUGUUGCUUUUCUCUUCCGAUCCUUUUGUUGCAUACUUAUAUAUUGCUUAUGUAUUGUCUGUGAGUUGCUACUAACGUUUUGUUUGGCUAGUGCAUAUAUAGAGAUGCCGUCGUAUGUCAUGUACAAGGGUAAGGUUCCCGGAGUCUACGGCGACUGGCAGGAGUGUCGGAGACAGGUUCACCGUUUCAGCGGUAACAGUUACAAAGGGUACACCACUAGGGCGGAAGCGGAAGUUAGAUACGCGCGCUAUCUAGCGGGAGAGAGGACGGAGCGGAGGAGGAACCAGAUGAAGACCAGUUUCAUCGCGAUGAUGCUAACCGUGAUGACCGCAUCUCUCUUCUAUGUGAUGGUAGUUUAGAUGAUCGAUAUCGACUUGUAAUGUGAAGACAAACUCGCUAGUCGCGGUUUCGAGACUUGUAAUAUUAUAACUUUGUUCGGUAUUUGAAAUUCGGAGACUAAUAUGAUGAAUUGUAUUCGGAGACUAAUCUUCUAUUGUAUUCGAUAAAUCUGUUGUUUAUAUGUUGUGUUCUCUAUAUUAUGUGCAGUAAUAUGUUUUGUAACCUGUGCAAAUAUCAGAAAAGAAAAAAAAUAAUCCCUAAUAUUCAUAUUAAUGGCGCACCACCCAGCACACUAAUGGCGCACUGCAGAAAGGACACUAAUGGCGCAUCACCCCCUAGUGUGGCAUUAGUAUGCCAAGGCACAUGGGUAAAUAUGGCCCCUGGGAGGCAUACUAAUGGCGCACGGUGGGCUAUACUGAUGGCGCACUGCGUGGUGCGCCAUUAGUAUACCAGAUACUAAUGGUGCACUGCGUGAUGCGCCAUUAGUAUUUAAUUCUAAUGGCGCGGUGCUAGUGGCGCACCAGUAGUGCGCCAGUAGUAGGCAAAACUAGUGCGCCACUAGCAGGCCUUUUCCUAGUAGUGUGAGAUGAGAUCGAAUGAAACUGAAAAUUCAAACAGAAAGACUCACUUGUCUGGGAUUUGGAACUUUUUUCUGGACGUUUUACACCGGUUUAGAUGGUUCACAAACUCGGGCGUCCUCUUCCCUCCUUUUUUCAGAUGCAAAUCACCACGGUGUUUGUACUUAAGUUAUCUGAUAUGAGGUUCACAUAUUACCAUACUGUUUACAUAGUAGUUGUCGAGUAUGUAUUUCAACUAUUUUUCCCCUCUUGGUAAAAUGUUACCGCGGUGUUUGUACUUAAUUUAUCAUGUAUGAGGUUCGUAUAUUACCAUGCUAUUUACAUAGAAAUUACCGUGUUAUAUGUUCCCGGAACUUUUUUCUCCUUGUUUAAAAAUGUUACCGUGUUGUUUGUACUUAAGUCAACGUGCUAUAUUUUUUAGCAACUUUUUCCUCCUUGGUCAAAAAUGUUACCGCAGUGUUUGUACUUAAGUUAUUAGGUAUGAAAUUCUUAUAUUACCAUGCAAUUUACAUAGAAAUUACCAUGCUAUACUUUUCAGCAAUUUUUUCCUUCUUGGUAAAAAAUAUUACCGCGGUGUUUGUACUUAAGUUAUCAGGUAUGGAAUUCUUAUAUUAUCAUGCUAUUUACAUAGAAGUUACCGUGCUAUAUUUUUCAGCAACUGUUUCCUCCUUGGUCAAAUAUGUCACGGCGGUGUUUGUACUUAAGUUAUCAGUAUGAAUUCUUAUAUGACCAUGCUUUUUACAUAAAAAUUACCAGGGUAUGUUUUUCAACAACUGUUCCACCCUUCAUCAAAUUUACCAUGUUGUUCAUACGCAAAUUAUCAUGUGAACGGUUCGUCUAUUAGCAUGUUGUUUUCAAAAAAGUUAUCGCGAGUAUAUUUUUGAACAGCUUUUUCAUCCCUUGGUUAAUGUUACCACGGUGUUUUGUUCAUAAAUUAUCGAGUACGAGGGAGGUAUAUUGCAUACUAUUUACACAUAAGCUAGCGACGAUGUGCUUUUCAAUAAAAAGUUUCCUGGGUCAAAAAGUUACCAUGUUUGUAUAUCGGUUAUUGGAGUUUAUAUCACCAUGUUAUUUACAUAGAAAUUACCGGCAUGUUUCGAACAAAAAAUUCUUGGGUCAAAAAAUCAACAUGAUUUUGUUUGUAAGUUAUCAGGUCGGGUUGCUUAAAAACCAUAUUUUUUACAUAAAAAUUACCAGAGUAUUGUUUCAACGGUAUUAGUAUGCUCGACCACGAGGGGAACCCCGUGCCGUCGUACAUCCGUCAGUGCGCGGUGACGCGCGCCUUCUCCGCAAAAGCUGCUAAUGGUGGUGAGUGGGGUUAUCCUGAAGUGAGUGAUCUGGAGGAAUCGGCUUAAGCAUGGUUAAUAAUAUAGCCAGCUGCUGGCUAUAACAUGUUGCCAUGUCAUUUAUAGUCAAUAUAAUAGCUAACACGUAUAAUAGUUGGCUAUAAGAAAAUACUACUUUGUCAACAUAUGGCCCACCUUUCACUCUCACAAAACUUCUUGGAGCUCGUGCUAUAGCCGACUGUAAGUCUACAACCCGCUUCCCUUCUUUCAACUCUUCUCUCUCUUCCAACUAAGCAAUAAUACAAUAUUUAGAUCCUUAUAGCCUUACAUCACCUUAUUAUACUUGCUCUUACUUGAAGGACGAUGUUUUUAGUCUCAGGUGCGAUAUCCCCGUGGCAAAGGAGAUCUUCAUCACCAAGGCCAUCCCUGUUUCCGAAGUUCAUCCUGGUGUCGUGAAACAGGAGAGAUGAAGCGGCUCCUCUCCGCUGUGGUGUUUGAAUUCGUGGGAGUGACCUUGGCUUGGUUGUGCGCGAUCUGAUGAUCAGCUGCCAUCGUCCCUCCUUUCGUCUGUAGAUGCUUUGCCAAUGUUGCCAGGUCUCUUUUUAUCUUUCAUGUGCUACUAUUAUCGUUUUUUAGUUUAAGGACAGUUGUUGUGCACGUCCGUUUGAUCAUCGAGUCUUGUAACGGAAGCAUCAAACUGAUAAGGUGCAUUAUUCUGAGUUGUGUCGCUUUAGCUUUUUUCAUAUUUCAGUCAAAUGGAACUUUGUAGCUUCGGGUGUCGUUUGCAGUAUGUCGAGGAGCGUGUGUAAUCACUUAUGCAAGUCAAUGAAAACCAGCAAAACUAGUCCCCUUUGUGCUUUUUUUUUUGCGAAAAAUGGUGUUUCAUUCAUCAAGAAUUGUCAUUACAAUCUGUUUGACACAGCUGGCCAAUCUCAUUCGGGCCGUGUCUCAGCCCGACGGCCAUGCGAGAUGAUGUCUUCCCCAGUUGGGCAAGUGCAUGAGCUACAGAAUUCUAAUUUCUACGUACAUGCAAAAGUAGAUGUUCUCGUGUUGAACACCAGUUUUUUGGAUUCCUCGAUAAGUGCAGCCACCCAGGAUUUGUGAUUUUUUUUCAAAACUAUGACGUUUUUUAUAGCAAUUUCGGAAAAUAUAGCACGUAAUGCAAAAAACCCAGAACUAUGACCCCGUCGGCCUGGUGUUGGUCGAAGAGGUACUUUUCAGUCACCGUUUGGCCGAAGAGGGCUUUUCGGCCCGCGGUUGACCGAAGAAACGCGUAGCUGGGACGAAGACCUCGCAUCGGCGGAGGCCGGGCCGAAAAUAGUAACUUCGGCCUCGCCGCGACCGAAGUGGGUGUUUUCGGCCAGGCAGCGGCCGAAGAGCCUUUUCGGCCUCCCAUCGACCGAAAAGGAGUGGAUAAGCCCCCGCAUGGUGUCUCCUUCCUCUCGCCUGUUCGCCUCUGUUCUUCCUUUCUCUCUCUCGUUCUUCUCUGUACCUCACCACCCCUAGCUGAUCUCCUCCAUUUGCCACCCAUUUUCACAUCGAAGCCACAGAAUCGGUAGAUCGUAGCAAUCCCAAACGGCCUACGGUGUUGUUUUUUGCUAUGGAUAGUUUUCUGUGCGUUUGGGGAGGAGUAGCCAUGGUGGGGAGGAGGAGCCAUGGUGGGGAGGAGGAGGUGCGGUUGGGCAGGAGGUGUUGAUGAGGAGGAGCAACAGUUGUGGGGGAGCAGCAGCUGUGGAGGAGGAGGUGCGGCUUGGGGGUGACUGGAGUUGAACCUCCGGUCGUCGAGGGGGCGGCGGUGGUGCUGUCGUUGUUCGGUGGUGCAAGCACCUCCGCUAAGGUAUAAUCAUGUCCUCACAAAUUUUCUCUGAGUUGUAUAGUUUAGUUAGUGUAGAUAAAUUAUAUUGCGAAUUGUAGUGUUAAUUUGUAUGUGGUGGCAUUUUAGCGGAGUAAUAAUUGUGUUAGUGUAGCGGAAUAAUAAUAAUUGUGUUAGUGUAGCGGAUAAUAAAAAUUGUGUUAGUGUUAAUUUGUAUGUGGUGGCAUUUUAGCGGAUUUUAGUUAGUGUAGCGGGUAAUAUUAGUGUUCGUUGUGAUUAAUGAGAAGAUGACAAUGUCUGACAGGUGAAAAUGUCUGAAUCAGUAAAUCUGAAUGUUUACUACGGCGCUGGUAAUGUUCGAUAUAAUGAGUUGGGGGUUGAUCUUAGAGAGUUUAAAAAUGGCGUCAUGACACUAGCAGACCCGGACAGACUGGACAUUAGACAGUUGAAGUAUUGGUUGACAACUAGUUUCGGGCUGGAUCCUGAAGUAUGUUCCGUCAGUAUUCAUGCAUUGUGGACCAAAUCUUGUAAAAAUGUCAAGUGGGAGUUGAUGUCGAUAGAUAGGAGCCAGCAUUGGUUGUCCCUGUUAAGACGCUGCCGAGACCGAAGAAUCCACCCAUAUGCACUUGUGCAACCUGUGCCGAAGGAGGAGAAUACCGUACAACUCCACAGGGGUAUGAACCCGGCAAAGGCAGUGAAGUGGCUAACGAGAUUGUUUUAUCCGGGUCACAACCACAAGAUGUGGAUGCUAGCCAACCCGAGAAAGAGUCGGACUACGUGCCACACAAUGUUUGUGGUCCUGAUACCGGGCAGAGUAGCCAGUCGAUAAUAUUAGUUGGUUCUGGUUUUGCCGAUGGGGAUGAGGAAGGGGAUGAAAUGCAGAGGGUGAUGGAGGAAGAGGACGAGGAUGGAUUGGUGGAGGAACUGGAUUCUGAAAAUUCUAAGGAUGAAGUGGAAGUACCGAUUCCUUCUGCAUGGGAGCAGGACAUAUCCACCGGCCUUACGCUCAACGAUGGCCAUGAGACUCCAUGUCAGUAUAAUCUGAACCAAGUACAGAUAGGGGCUAUGUUUGAUACAAAGAAAAAAUUGAAGUAUGCGGUGAUAAAGUGGGCUAUGUCUACGCAGAGGGUUUUUCGGACAUACAUAUCAAGUCCAACAAACUAUACGGUGAAAUGUGUUGAAACAGGUUGUCCAGGGAAGGUGCACGGGCACGUGCCGAAGUAUGACAUCCACUGGGUUGUCACCAUUGUCGUCCCACAUAAUUGUGUGAGGAAGAACCUGCUGGUGAAGCAUCCGAACCUGACUUCAAGUCUCAUCGCGCAACUCAUGUAUACUGAGAUAGUAGAGAAGAAACAUAUGGAAGCAAAACACAUCCAGACAGCAGUGCAGGUCAGAUGGAAUUAUGUCAUUCCUUAUGGGAAGGCUUGGAGGGCUAAGCAGAAGGCUAUGGAGGAAAGGUUUGGGACGUUCUUUGACUCAUAUGAUAAUGUUGUCCAUCUCCUUGGCAUACUGAAGGAGAGGAAUCCCGACACUUAUGUGAACGUACAACACAUGAGGUUGCUGAGUAUACCAGAUUUCAAGGUGUUGAAACGAGUGUUCUUCUCUUUUGCUAUGUGCAUCGAAGCUUUCCGGCAUUGUCCUCCUGUUAUGUUUGUGGAUGGUACAUUCCUGACCGGGAACAAUCAAAUCAUCCCACUUGCCAUGGCAUUUGUGGAGGGUGAGAACUUUCCCAGGUGGGUAUGGUUCUUCCGGCAAGUGAAAAUUGCCAUCGUGAAGGACCGACCAAACGUGUGUGUCAUUCAUGACAGACAUGCCGGUAUAUUGAAGGCCGUGAAGACACUACGUAAUCCAACAGUUGACGAACCAACACCUUGGAGGGACUUGCAGAGUCGGUGGUGCAUGCGCCAUCUUGGGGCUAAAUUUUUCUCACAGUUCAAGAACAAGCGGUUGAUGAACUUGUUCAAAAAAUUAUGCAAGCAGAGCCAGCAGUGCAAAUACGGAUUUAUUUGGUCAAAACAAGAUGAGUUUACUAAGAAGCAGGUCCGUGCGAGGAGGAAAAUGGAAGAAGAUCAGGUUAAAUUAGCAGCACUCAUCGCGGAGCUAGAGGAGCGAGUAGGUCUUUGUGACUUGCCAGCAAUUGACCCUCCUAAUACUAAGAGAAAGAAGGGAAGGGCAAUAAAGAAUUUUUCUGAGUGGAUAGAGAAAGAGCCUCCAGUGAAUUGGCCUUUGCUGCAUGACACACAUGGAGCUAGGUAUGGCCACAUGACAAUCAAUCUUGUAGAUGUGUAUAACUUUGUGCUGAGAGGGAAUAGAGCAUUGCCACUCACAGCUAUUGUGGAGGCUGUAUUCCAUGGCACUUUGAGAUAUUUCAGAGAAAGGCACGAGUUAGCAAAGAAGCAUAUUGAAGAUAAUCACAACACACCUUAUUGUACCCGUGUCAUGGAAUACAUGGCAAAGAAGAUAGAGAAAGCAAAGAAGCACACUGUCAGACUCAUAGGGAAUGAAGAAAGGAGGUAUGAGGUUCAGCUUCCUACCGAUGGUUUUGGUUCUGGACAUGAGGUGAAGACACACGAGGUAAAAAUUGGAACGGAAUUUUAUCCAACAUGUGAGUGUACCUGCAACAAACCGAAGUUGUUGCACCUACCUUGCUCUCAUGUGUUGGCUGCCUGUGGCCAAAUUAAGUUGGAUGCUAUCUCCUUCGUGUCCCCAUACUAUUUAAAAGAGGCAGUGGUCAACACAUGGACAUGUGAGAUGAUAGGGUUUAGAGUCGUCGGCAAUUUCAACAAGGUAAACGACAGUGAGAGAGUAUACAUCCCGCAUCCAGACCUUCGGCGAACAAGUAGGGGCAGACGAAAGGCCUGUCGCAUCCGAAACGAUAUGGAACAAUCUGAAGCUGGUGGAGCAACCAGACAAUGUUUGUUAUGCGCGGCUUAUGGGCAUAGGAUGAAAUAUUGUCCCGACCUGAACAAAGAUGGUGCUUCCACAUCAACGGCUGCGACAACAGGAGCAAGAGGCGGACGUGGUCGUGGCAGUCGAGGCCGAAGGGGCGGACGAGGAAGAAAUAACUCACAAGCUAUAUAAUGUGUCGUACUGUGUUUCAAUAUGUAAUAUGUCAGGACUAUGUUUUAAUUUGUAAUAUGUCAGGACUAUGUUUUAAUUCGUAAUAUGUCGGGACUAAGUUUUAAUUUGUAAUAUGUCAGGACUAUGUUUUAAUUGGUAAUAUGUCAGGACUAUGUUUAAUUUGUAAUAUACCGUACUAUGUUUUAAUUUGUAAUAUGUUUGAACUAUGUUUUAUUUGCACCUGAGAUUUGUUGUUUGAAUUGCAGAUAUAUCUUCGUAUCCGUUGCUUAAUGGUAACAUCGAUAGAAAGCACCGGGGCGCCCUUAUGGAAGCGAGCAACAACUUAGACGUGUUGGUCACUCGUACCCCAAAGACUAACUGGAUGAUACACGAAUCAUGGGUUGAUAGGUAUGUGUGCAUAUAAUGGAAUCCAUAUAAUGACUUACUAUGUUUGUCAUACUUUUCAUAGCCGCUAACAAUCUCUUUAUUUUGUAGGUUAAAUUGGGUUGGACUUCUACCCUUGGCACGACUAGUUGAGGGUACAUUGGAUGAGUGGGUUGAUGGUCCGGACUUAGCAGUUACACAACAGGCAAGUGAAACGUUUCUCUUACGACAAGUCACUCCUUACCUGCUUAGUAGAUAGAUGGAGACCAGAGACACAUACGUUUCACUUUCCCUGGGGAGAGAUGGCGCCUACUUUAUAGGGUGUGUCUUACUUGUUGGGAUUACCUCUGGCCGGUGUUGCCAUAGGUCCCUUAGAGGCAGAAUCUGGUUGGCAAGCAGCGAUGCAGACCCGUUUUUUGGCUACGGUGCCGACUGCUAGGGCCAUAGAUAACGAUCCUCACGGGCCUCUUUUUAGAUGGUUGAGCCAGUUUCAGGUAACCUUCACGGCCACUUAAACAAAUGUUGUUUUUUAGUUCCCCGAUGUUCAUACAAUCAUUACGUUUCUAUGUAGAUUGUCUCGUUAGGAUAUCCCGAUGUUCAGUUGUCGGAGGCACAGAUUGACUGGUCCCUAGAGGCAUAUAUUCUUUGGCUGUUUGGCAAGACAAUGUUUACGGAAAACCAUGUGACCACUGUCGAUGCACGACUCAUCGGUAUUGCACGAGAGAUAGCCGACGCACGUUGCCCUGGGGAUAUUCUGCAGAGGAGUUUUGGUUCUGCUGUGUUAGCAGCUACGUACAGAGGCCUGUGCAAAGCUUGCUUGUUGAAGUCUAGAAAAUCUAGUCUUGUUGGAUGUCCAUUAUUGUGGCAGCUCUGGUCAUACGAGAGAUUCCCUAUUGGACGACUCUAUGUCUACAUUGAUAAACCUUUUGGUUUGGAGGACUUAGCUGGGGCUUAUGUGCCAGCUAUCGGCGACUUGCCUACUAUGGGAUAUGUUUGGGCACGGAGAGAGGUACUUUUAUAUUAAGUAACAAUUAAUUCCAUUAUUUCUUGCCAUUCAAUAGUAUUACUAAUGCUUAAUUGUUGUCAUGCACAGAGACAGUUCGCGCAUAGCCAGGUUAGGGGAUGCUACCCGUCCUUCACGGCGCAGUUUGAAGUUUGCACGAGGAUCAAGUUAUCUGGGAGCCAUACUCGCCUCAGGCUAUAUCAUCGAGGUGCCCGGUUGGGAUUUCUGGAUUGUGCACUAGAGAUCGGCACUAUUGGAUGACCAAGGCCAAGUUGGUGUUCGACGUGACGGUUGAGGAGAUGGCUCUUCAUAGGGUGAUGAGACAGUUCGGUCUAUAUCAAGAGCCUGAGAUUCCAGAUAUUCCACAUUUGCCAGAGCACGUGCAGAAGUAAGUACCAAUACUAUUUUAGUUGUCCGCUCUGCAUUCAUAAUAUACCUAAUCAUGUAUCGCGCAUGUCAAUCUCAGGGACAGUCGCCUAGGAGGAUACAAGUCCAUGGCUUAUUGGCUUAAGAGCAUUACCCCUUACGUUGAUGAAUGGACUACCGCGCCGACAAAUAUCUGGGGUGAGGUUCGUCCCUUUAACUGGGAAAUGUUCGGGUUGUAUCUGCAACGUUACCGGCAUACAACGAGGAUCUACUUGGUUCCACCAGCUGCUCCUGAUCAGAUCGAAGCCCCUCUCACCAGCGAUAUGUACCCAACUGCUUCUGUUGUGGGAACCAGACAGCACGCGGUACGUGCCUUGGUUCUCAUAUGUUAAGUCUUUUGUUAACCUGGACAUAUUCGCUUGGUUAUCUAUUCGUGGUGUCUAUCAUACAACGAGGAUAUAAUUGGUUAACUCUUCAUGUACAGGGUGACUUGAUAGUACAUGAGCGAGAGGAGGUUUCCGCCUUAACGCAGCGCUUUCAGAGGGGAGAAACUAUCCCACCGCGAGAGGGCGUCUCAUGGUUAAGGCGUCUUGACGACAAGCUACGUACGUGGGAUUUACGCAACUGUUACGUGUAGACGGUCUUCGGAUGUUGCAGUUCCUCCUCCAGCACAUCGUCCGCCACGUCCCUCUGUGCACCAUUCAGAACCACGAGUCUCUGUGCACCAUUCAGAACCACGACCCUCUGUGCACCGUGCAGAACCUCAUCCUUCACAGCCAGGGAGCUCUUCCUGGCAUCAGCCACCUCCUUCACAGCCAGGGAGCUCUUCCUAGCAUCAGCCACCUCCUUCACAGCUAGGGAGCGCUUACUGGCAUCGGCAGAUGGAACUAGGUAACACUACUCACUACAUUCUUUUAAACAAUGUAGUAAUUGUUCCUGCAUUCUCAGUAGUCACUGAUGCUUACUGGUGGUGCUUCGUUCAUGCAUUUGUAUCAAUUUUACAUGUUUUACUUUACCGCUGGCGGCAACCAGUCGCAACCGUUCAUGCAUUCAUAGCAGUCACCGAUUCUUAGUGGUGGUGCUUCGUACUUUGAGGGCGACGGCGAGGAUGAUGACCAAGCUACAAACAUUUAUGGCUUCUCGCAGACAGUGUUUCACACUCCACCACCACCACCGACGCGGGAGACACAUACCGUGACAGACGAGAUUAACUAUGGUCGUGGUUAUCGCGAGCCUCGUCCACCGCCUCAGCGCUUAUCGCCUUCCGGUCCUCGCCCGAGGAAGACCCAGACUCGUCGUCGUCCCCCGCAGUGAUAUGCUUAUCUAUCUAUGUAUGACUCAUUAUCUAUGUUAGUUUCAGACUAUUCGCAGCUGUGUGUCAGUAUUUAUGUAUGAGACAUGCUUCAUGUAUGUGUUACUAUCGCACUUGCUUCUAUCUGAACAGGAGACAUAUAUUGUUUUAUGUAUGCGAGAGACAUAUUACUAUUAAUUCACAUUCUUAUUCCAGUUACAUUUCCAAAGAGACUACAACCGAUAAUUAAGAUACAAGUACAUCUGAAUUAAACGGUGCGGCUGAACUUGUGCAAUACAUCUUACAUACUACAAAAUGAAAUUCAGAUAUAACAUAAUGCCCUACAAUAAUACAGUACAAACUAAUAAUGCAAGUACAUCCGAAUGAAAUGGUACGACUAGAAUACAUCUUACAUACUAAUAAUGCAAGUCAUCAUCGUCAUCCUCCGCUGAUGCAGCCCUUUUGCCCUUCGACGAUGCGGUCCUCUUGCCCUCCGUCGAUGCAGAACUCUUGCCCUUGGUCGAUGCAGAACUCUUGCCCUUCGAGGAUGCAGAACUCUUGCCCUUGGACGAUGCAGAACUCUUGCCCUUCGAUGAUGUAGAACCCGGAAGCGGCGGCAUGAAGAUAUCAUCUUCGUCCUCGCUCUCCUUAGUCCAUAAAAAUGUAUUCUUUGCUGCAGUCCUUCUGAAAGUUUCACUCUCCGGCUCCACUACCUUCUUCCACCUUUCAUGCAACCUAAGAAGUUCUUUACAUACCUCCUCAUAGGUCCUUUCAGGCCACCCAGACCUACGUAAUCGGUGAGCCAACUCAUUCAUUAUGGUGUCACUACCGGUGAGUUCGUCCCAUGGAACUAUCCUAUUGUCCAUCCUGAAAUCGAUAACUAGACUCAGAAGAGUCCUGCUCAUCCCAGGGUGAAAACUAUGAUCGAUGGAUAAUGGGACAUCUGGACUACACUACACUGGAAUGCUUAUCCACCUCCGCCAGAAGGGGUUUUUAUAGAUAGAGAGGAGAAAAUGGCGGGAAAGAAUGAUUGCGGUAUGGCGGGAAACGGGUGGCGGGAAGGGGUUGGCGGGAAACGGGUGGCGGGAAAAUAUGGCGGGAAACGGGUGGCGGGAAGGGGUUGGCGGGAAACGGGUGACGGGAAAAUACAUUUCGGCCUAAGCCAUGCAACUUCGGCCAACACUAGACCAAAAAGGACUUUUCGGCCUACACUUGACCAAAAAGUGUAUUUCGGCCUAGUGGUGGCCGAAAACAGCCAUUUCGGCCAGGUCCCAACCUUUUUGGCCAAGGCAAGGCCGAAAAGCCUACUUCGGCCUAGAGGUGGCCGAAAACAUCUACUUCGGCCAACGCGUGUCCGACAGGGUGCUAUUUUUGAUUUUUAUCCACAUCAUGCAAUAGUUUCCGUAUUUGCUAUAAAAAACGUCAUAGUUUUGAAAAAAUCGAUUUCUUCAAGUCAUGGUCUCCACUCUAAUGCAAGGGCAAUGCCCUCUGCACACGUCGACGUUUCAGCUCACUAGUAGAAAACAGGGCUUAGGUCAUAGGAGAGUUUUCACAUUAGCCCCGGUUCAGUCACGAACCGGGACUAAUGUGAGCAUUGGUCCUGGUUCGUGCGGCCAGGGACCUGCCGGGCCUCAUGGGGGCAUUGGUCCCGGUUCGUCCGGACCCUUUGGUCCCGGUUGGUGGGACAAACCGGGACCAAUGGGCCACGCUCCUAGCCCACCACCCUUUAGUCCCGGUUCCUACCACAAACCGGGACUAAAGGCCUGGUCCUAGUUGCGGCCAGUGUUUAGUCCCACCUCGCCAACCGAAGGGCGCUCACAUCAGUUUAUAAGGCCGUCCCUCUCUGCCUUGUUGAGCUUCUCUUAAAGUGAAAAUAGAUGCCCUUAUACAGGGAAUUUGACCUAAAUUCAUAGUAAAUUUCGUAGAAAUUUAUUAUGAAUUUAGGUUGAAUUUUCUCUAUAAGCGCAUCUAUGUUCAUUUUUUUAUAUUUAUAAAAUAAAUAAACCUUAAUAAAAUAAAAUAAAUAAGUUUUUGUUGUAAGUAGGAACAAAAAAAAGCAAAAGAUAAAAAAACAGGAGCCAUCAACUCCAUAACCGCCAUAUCUGGGAUAGAGAAGGGCGAUCCCUUGGAGUGGGAUUCACAUACAGUUGCCAAACAUCUACCAUUCGAGCCUAGCAGGUGGAACUCGGAUCUGUCAACAGUGUCAAAGCGGCAAAUAGCAGGCGGAGGAGAAGCCACCGAUGUCAUGUGUAGAUCCCUUCUAGGUCUUGCGGAUCGUUCUAUUACAAUAAUUUGGUUGGUUGAUCCCAAAAAAAGGGAAUUUGGUUGGUUUUCUUGAAGCCCUAGCUUGUUGUGCCGUCCUAUUCUCUCAAUGCAAUUUAGCAAAUGCUACUACAGUACAGUAAAGGGCACAAAGAAAAAGCACGCAGUGAAGGAAAAUACCUCCAUAUCAAAGCUGCUACUUAUCUUGUUGGUUAUCAGGAUGUGGAUAUGUAGAAUUUUGUCUAGCCACGGCAACAGACAUGCAUUCAUCGAGGGGGUUCACUACAGAACAAAAUAAAUGCUGACGUUAGUUGUUGAGGGUACGUUUGACAUCCCUGAGAGACUAGAUAAUGAAAAGAUGAAUCGUCAAACCUGGAUGAACAAAGACGCUACCAAGUGGAUGAAUCUGAUGGCCUGUCCUCCCUUGAAGAUCAUGCGUCCUCCCUUGAAGGCGCCACCAGGGCCAUGGACGCCUCAUACACCGCCGCAGACGUGUUGUAGUGAUGAGGUAUCGUGCAGGAUCUGACACAGGAUCACCUUCAGGCAAGAUGAAUAGGUCUUCAGGGGCACGACGGCCGGCCACAGCAGGCCCCUGCCAUGGACGGCGCCGCCCGAGGAACAGCUGCUCGCCAGCUCGCCUCUGAGCAGUCCAAGCUUAUCCGCGAGCUCGUCCACUAGUGCUCGUCGCCGCCACGGCGUCCUGCAGGCUAGAGAACGGCGGUUCGCCGUUCUUAUCCACGGCCGCCGUUGGAACCGACUCCGGCCGCCUAUAUAAGGAGCCCUUGAGUCCGUCCAGUCCCUCAGGCGACCUCAAGCCACCCCACCUAGCACCCCCAUAGCAGGCAAUCGACCAGGGAGGGUCUUCUUCCCCAUCUCCGGCCAGUACAGCCGCCACCGCCCUCCGGUCCAUUCAGUUGCAACCAGAGCCCCCCCGUCCGUAUAGCACCACCAUCCUCCUCCCCUCGACCGUGCGGAGCCUCCCAAACCCUCAGCUGCGUCGGGGAACCACCGUAGGCCAAAGCCCCAAACCUCCCGAAGCUGCCGUCCGCCGCGGAGCUCGCCGCCGGCGACUCCCUCCAUCCCCGCCACCUCCUCGACCACCGGGAGGACCGCCCUGGCCUGGCGGAUCCAUCCCCGCCCUCAGGACCCCGCGAGGAGCCGCCGUUCGCCGGCGUUGAUCGCCGGAGCCCCGCCUCUGUUCGGCCAGAGGAGGAAGGAGGCGGGGGCGACUGGUCAAACCUGACCAGUGGGCCCAAGGGACCCACUGUCAGUGACCCACGAGCCGGUCCACGUGGGUUAAGUGGAGGAUCUGACACAGGAUCACCUUCAGGCAAGAUGAAUAGGUCUUCAGGGGCACGACGGCAGUGGCGGCGCCAUGGCUGGGACUGGUGACGACAGCGGCGGCGAGCGAGCGGGAGGGUGGCGGCGGCUGCGUGCGAGUGGGAGGCCGGAGGAUCACCACUCAUUGUGCUCGACAUAUCACUACAAGAAACCUGUUAAUCCAUGACGGAUUUCUAAUGACAUUUUUGGAAACUCUCAUCGAUGACCAGGUAAAACCCCACAAGCCCGGUGAAAGCCCGCUAAAGCCCGUCUAACCGUUCCCGUAUAAAAACUUAACCCUAAAUUCCCUCCUCGGCCCUUGCAUCGUGUCCCACAGCAUGUCGCCACCCCUCGUCCCUCCCACAGCUCGUAAACCUUAAUAAAAUAAAAUAAAAUAAACUAUAGUAACUAUAAUAAAUAAACCUUAAUAAAUUAAGUAAAAAUAGCAGCAGUAAAAUAAAUAAAAAUAGCAGCAGUAAAAUAAAUAAAAAUAAAAUAAUUAAAGUAAAAUACAUAAGUAAUUAGAAAUAAAAUAAAUAAGUUUUUUGUUGUAAGUAGAUACAAAACAAAACAAAUAAAGCAAAAGAGAAAAAAAAAAAC